rnacentral:lncRNA from 1 species
CUGUAUUGUCAAAAGUACAUAGGCAUUCGUACUGGUAAGUUAUCUACGAUGAUGAAAUUUUUGAUUUGGCAAUCGGUUUCGUUAAACAUAAUCUCCGUUAUUGGAAUUAUCUGAAAAGCAAAUUUCAUAAUUUUUUAACUUCAUUUGUCCAGUGAACAAAUAACCUUAAAAUAAACGGCUGAAAGUAAAAAUCUUAUAAACAAUAUUGAUAAAAAAAAUUUAAAUAAGAAGUAUUGAUAUUACUAUUAAUGUUAAAUGAAAAUUUUUGUUAAAGUUUCAUAUAAUUUAGAUUGUUCUACAUCGUUGAACUUAAAAACGUGUCACAUCAUUAUUUUUGAAAACUUUUGAGUUGGUAAAUGAUGUCGAAAAUUUAUGAAAUUUGGUUUCUAGAUAGUUCUAAUAGACUAGAUUAUGUCUAACAGAGUCAAUAGUCAAAUCAGAUAUUUUAUUAUCAAAAAUAAUUUAUAAAUACGAAGGCCUUGGUAUUUUUGAAAGUAUAUAUAGGAGACAUACUCAAAAUUUUGGACAUAUAUAGAGCUAUUUUAUUGUACAUCAACAAUUGAUAUGUAUUAAUCCACCCUACCUAGCAUAAUUAGCAUAGGACUUGAUGAUUUGGUACAUAUUUGAGAUUAUAAGUUUGAGUCUUAAUUAUUUUAUAUUUUCAGUUGAGACUAUUUAAAAAAAAUAAACGGAACAGAUAAUAUUUUAUCCUUCUCUUUAAAAAAGGAAAAGAAAAGAUGAAAUGUAUUCCAUUGCUAAUGAGUAGUGAAAUCGCACCCUGCACCCGAGUAAGUAGGGGGUCCAUAUGUGCUCAUGAGUGGGGAGAUGCUUUCACAAAGAGGAGGCGGCAAGGGAAUCGGAGAAAAUUAGAAGUGUGGGAAAUGGAAAUGGUGGUGGAGGUGGGUACGUGGGCUUUAAAUAAGACAAUCGUGCCUUACAUUGUUUAGUUUUUAAGAGAUAGAUAGUAUACCACCCGCUUUAUUUUAUUUUAUUUAAAAAUAAAUUUAGCUGAAAAUGUGAAUUAAUUUGGAUUUAUUAUUGAAACGCCGGAUACUAACCACCAAGCUCUUUGUCAUUUGCGUUAGGAACGGUCGGUUAUUCUAUCCUAUAGUUGGAAGGUAAUUAAAAUUAAGGAGAACUUACAUAUUUUUUAGAAGGAAUUCUUUGUUUAUUGAAAAAACGAAAUUUACCAAUCUAGUCUCAUUUUCAAAAUAUUUUCUAAUUAAUCUAUCUUUAUUUGAACUGAUUAAGAAAACAAAGUUUCAAAAUUUACUUUUAGUGAUAAUUAAGAGAGAUCUUUCUCUCUCUUCGCCUGCUACGUACGUACCCCACCUAUCAAAUGAUACUAGAAUAGCAUCAUUUGAUAUCAGAAUUUGUAUGAAUGUACCGACCGUCUCUAAAGUAAGUGGCAAAAGGGCUGGGUGGUUGGUACCCGUGACCUAAAUUUGAAUCCUAGUUGAUUCACAUUUCCAGCUAAAUUUAUUUCUAAAUGAAAUAAACGAAACGAAUAGCGUGCUACCUAUUUCUCAAAAAAAAGAAAAAAGAAAAAAAGAAUCUUGUAUAAAUGUAACAUGCUAGCCAAAAGAUUUAGUAAAAACGAUGGACGCAAAGUUUGCAGGAAAAGAAGCAAUCGGUAGUCGCUUCUCAAAAGAUCGAGUCGGAGGUAAACAAUUUCAUUGGUGCUGUUGAUGCUUAUUCACUUAAAUCUAAACUGAGGUGAAAACCAUCGCAAAUACCAUCAACAAUCUCAAAACUAAUGUUGCAAUAGAUACGAAGAUCAACGACCAAUUUUGCCUACUUUGGUAUCUACAUCAGCUAUAGAUAAUUCCGUACGUGCAUGUUAGGUUUUAACGGAGGGUUUAAUCAUAAGCUGGAAACCCAAAAAAUUAUGUUUGUAUCAUUUCACAUUGAAGGAAAAACUUUACAGUGGUUUUAACGCUUUGAAAAGAGCUGUGGUCUAGGCGAAGUUUGUAGAAGUCCUUUGUACUUGUUUUGGUUCAACUAUAUAUGAGAACUGUAUAAACAAGUUAACAAAAACUACAAUAAAUUAAGUCCUACGCUUCUAAAUUACCCAUCAUCAGCUUUGUUCAUCUACAAGAGGAGAAAUUGAUAACUCAAUGUCCAUUAUAAAGCCUUCUCUCUUUUCUACUUCUGCGACAUCAAUAUCUAAGGAGGCGGUUCCGUCUAUUAAAUACCUUAUACCAGUUGAAGCAAGAGAAAGGUUCCAUCAAAUUUUUAACUCUUGAUUAUCAUUAUUUCACUGUUCUUAUUAAUUUAUAGGCAUCCAAGUAUCAAAUUGAUAGUAAAUACUAUUCUCUUACUAUCAGUAGCAAUUCUAGCGCGCGUUCUCUAUAUAUAUAUAUAUAUAUAUAUAAUAUAUAUAGAUAGAGAGAGAGAGAGAGAGAGAGAGAGAGAGAGAGAGAGAGAGAGAGAGAGAGAGAGAGAGAGAGAGAGAAGAGGAGAGAGAGAGAGAGAGGCCGCGUUCUAUAUAUAUAUAUAUAUAUAGAGAGAGAGAGAGAGAGAGAGCUAGGCUCGUAUACUAUCGGUAGCACGGAAGCCUCCGUGCUACCAAAUUGUUUUCAAUGAUGCGCCUUCUAAAUCGACGAUCGGUUUCGUUAGACUUGAUCUACACUAUUAAAAGUAUUUGAAAAUUAAAUUUCAUAAUUUUUCGGCAUCAUUUACCUAUCAAACGAAUAGUCUAAAAAUGAAUGGCUGAAAAUAAAAAUCUCAUAAAAAAUGAUGAUAAACGACUUGAAUUUAAUAUUAUAGCUACUAAUCUUACUCUAAAUAGUGAAAAGAAUUUUCUAUAAAAAAUUCAUCAGAUUUGGAUUGUUUUACACCGUUAAAUUCAUAAACGCAUCAAAUCUAUCAUUAAAAUUGUCAAUUUUGAGACAUUUUAAUCACUAGUCAAAUAAUGUCGAAAAAUUAUGAAAUUUAAUUUUCAAAUACUUUUAAUAGUGUAAUUCAAGUCUAACGGAGUUGAUCGUCGAUUUGGAAGCCACAUCAUUGAAAACAACUUGGUAGCAUGGAGGCCUCCGUCCUACCGAUAGUAUACUAGCCUAGCUCUAUAUAUAUAUAUAUAUAUAUAUAUAUAUAUAUAUGCUUACAAAACGUGCAUGUUUAGCAUGCGAAUUGUCAGAGUCAUGAAAUCGUACAAUCACCUUCAUCAAGCCAUCUCACCAACUCCAGAUAUGUUUCACUCCCAUCUAAUAAAGAACUCUGUUGUGCGGCCCAACUCGACCACCUGUUUGGGCUUUCAGAGUAUACAGCCAGGACCUUCGAAUGAACAAUCCUGAAUUAAAAACAUCCAAUAGGACUAAGACUUAAUAUAGGGAGUACGUUAAAAUUAUCUGAAACCUAGGUGCACACCUCUCCAUAUCUGCUUCAGCCGAGAAGAUAGAAAGUUUUUGACUAAGCUCCAAUCAUUCCUGCGAACAGCAAGUAAUUGAACACAGAAGUUUUAAUUGACAGUACAAAAGAAACAAAAAGAAACUCGAUUCUAAUUGCAUUGAAUUACUUGAUUGACCGACAGAUGAUAUUAAAAUAAGAAACUACAUAAUGUAUGGCUGAAAAAUCCGCUCUUUUCAGCAGACAAAUUGACACGGACAUGAAGGAAUGGUGGCCCAUUUUAACAAAGUUGAACAGAUAUCAAAAAGUUUAAACUAACAAAAGCAUACCAAUAUAUUAGGCUCAGACAUAUACCUAUCAGAAGAUAUCUCACAUGAGAUAGAGAAAAUCUAAAUCCUUUCUAAAUGCACGUGUGAGAGAUAAUUUUCUUUCUUCGGCAUUGUUACAAAAAUUAAUAAAGUUUUUUAUCAAAACACUGCUCAGUGGAUUCAAACCAGCAAAGAAUGUGCUCCACGCCUCCACCCAUAGAGCAGUAGAGCUGAAACAAACAAUAUAUCUUGUACCAAAAAUAUAUCUUAAUAAAAUUACAAAAAGUAGAAGUUUUUCAGACUUAAGUGCAAAGCCGACAUAUAAUAGAAAUAACAUUCUACACCAAUACUUUGAAUCAAAGUUGAUGACAUUCCAUACCAAUACUAUGAAUCAAAGUCGAUAACAUUCUUUACCAAAAUUUUGAAUUAAAGUUUGCAAAUUUAUGCCACAACUUCCCAGUAGUGGAUAUCACCUCCAUUAUGCUUUCUUCAGGCUGAAAUCAACUUUGGGCUCCUCAUCCAUAAGGAAGAAUAAAUUACACAAAACUAAGGGUACAAUUCUGUGCCAUAAAACAUGUUAUCAGAAGGAUAUGAAAUUCAAAGAAAAUGGUNNNNNNNNNNNNNNNNNNNNNNNNNAAAAUUUAUUAUAUUUUAAUAUAAACUCUCAAUUUAAUCAUAAUACCAUAGGAUAUUAAAAAUUAAACAUACUUGGUUUGUUACCUUACCCUUAUUGAGUAAGGUUAAAAGUUAGGUGUUUACUUGGUUUGUAGAACCCUCUCACCCGGAACCCUACAGUUACCCAUACCUAUGGGCUUUAAAAUAGGCUUAGGCUUGGGCUUACUUUGCCUAUAUAGAAAACAGAGUACUAGAACAAUAACUAAGCCUAUACCCAGAGGUAUUAGCUUUACGCCUAUACCUAAGCCUAUACCUAAAACUAACAUGGGCUGGGCUUGGGCUUGGGCUUGGGCUGGGCUUGGGCUUAAAUCAAACAUGAACAUAUAGUAAAAAUAAACUUAAACAUAAAAUAUUAAGGAAGUUAUAAAAAAACCCAGAUAAAAUAUAUUAUACAAAACUUAGUAUCGAACAUUAAAUGCCUAGACUAAAAAAGACCAAGCCCAAGACACUCAAGCUCACGAUAAGCCAUAAAAUGACAAACCCAAGACCAAAAUCUACUACCUAAUAUAAUUUUAAGCAGCCCAAGCCAAAACCACAACGCCUAGAGUCACAAACCGCAGCCCAAGCCAAAGCCCAAAAAUCUCUAGUCGCGGCUUAGGCUGGGCAGACUGUAAAAAAAAAAAAAACCCACCGUUAGGACUGAGGUCGAAAACAGCUUAGGCGGUCGAACAUAACCUCGAGCUGAUAAGCGAGCUCUAACUCAGAGAGCAAAUAAACGUGCCGCAGCGUGUGCACACCCCUAGUCGAGCGAUCACAAGACGAGCUAUUGAUCGACCUAUAUGUAUAGUAAAAUAUAAAUAUAUAAAAGGUAAAUGAAAUAUAAAAAUAUAUAGUUACAAAUUAAUAUAUAGGUAUUAUAUAUAAAAAUAAUAAAUAAAAAAACGUUUUAUUUUUAUAUUUCCGCUUGAGUUAAUAUUUUUUUUUGAGUAAAUAUAUAUUUCAAAGUUGAUAAUCUAGUUUCAGAUUGCCCAUGUUAGAGUAUUUAAAUAAAAGAUAUAUAUAGGAAAGACUAGGAAAAUUCAAUAACAAUCACUCGGUCGAGCACUCGGUCGAGCAUAAGCCGAACAAAUAAUUGCUUGGCUUGUGCUCGACUUAAAACAUCGAACUAUGAAAUUGCUCGGUAGAGCACAAGCGGAGCAAAUAAUUGCUCGGCUUGUGCUCGACUUAAAACAUCGAGCUAUGAAAUUGCUCGAUCGAGCACAAGCCGAGCAAAUAAUUCGCUCAGCUUGUGUUCGGCUGGGUCGAGCGAGUACAAGCCGAGUAAAUGUGAGGAUCCCAAUCUACUAGGUUGAUACUAAAGUUACGGUUGGUAACUUGAGUUCAUAAAACGUGAUUAUUAAACUCGUAUGGUAAUACACAGGCUACAAUGUGGUUUAUACGCACUUACUAUAUUUAGAGUAGGGAUAUAAUAAAGUGGGAUUAACCAUUAAAAAAUUUUUUUAGAAUAAGGUAAGUUAAGCUAGUCAGCUCGUCCAAGUGUUGUGUAAACUGUAUCUUCUAGACCUCUAUGUCGGUAUUGAACGUUAUCUUUGAUGGUGUUCUAAUCAAGUCUUUGUGACGGAUCGUUUCAACCAACCAUAGGGCCUAGAAGCUAGUUCUCUAGCCCAAAACUAGGUACGUACCCUCACAUUUUUUUUUUUUAAACUCCACUAAAUCAGGAGCUUAAGAACCCUUUGCACUAAAUUGAGAAACUUUGAUGUUGUUUUAGUUUAAGUCUAUGUGACAGAUCGCGUCAACCAACCAUAGGGCCUAGAAACUAGAUCUCUAACCCAAAACUUGGGGUGUGCACUCAAAUCUUUUACUCCACUAAAUCAGAGGCCUAAGCACCCAUUGUACUAACAAGGGGGCUUUGAUGUCGCUCUAGUUAAAUCUGUCUAACAAAUCGUGUCAACCAACCAUAGAGCUUAGAAGCUAGUUCUCUAGUCCAAAACUAGGGGGCGUACGCUCAAAUUUUUUACUCCACUAAAUCAGGGAUGGUUUUUUGUCUUUUUUUUUUUCUUUCUUUUUUAGUCUAGGUCAUUCGUGUUUUAGACGGAGGUUUAUUCGGUAUGUUGUUAACUACGACGUUAUCUAACCUUUACAUAAAUGUAGUGUUCCCCUUUUCUUUUUAUUUUCUCUGUUCUUGAGUACCGGGGAAGGAGUUCCCGGAAAACUGUUUUAAGGGGAGUGUCGAUCUCUAUUUUUUAACUAAACUUUUCGGUAUUAGAUCUCUUGUCGUGUCUCGUUACAAUAAGGAUUUGAUCAAGUGAUGAAGUGAGAUGUCGAGUAAUAGAAGACUCUUUAGUUGACGACGACGAAGACCAAAGCUAUUUAAACAGCGGAGGACCUCGUACGCUAGAAAGAUACGCAUUCGGCCAAGGUGCCCCUUUUAGUGGAGGGACUUUUAGCGUUUUAUUUAGUUCAUUAAGAGAUGAAUAAUAGACUUAUCGAGGAGUUAGGCAACUUUAUCGAAUAACGACUUGGUCUUCCAACUUUGAAAGCAGUGGUUUCACUGGAGGCUGCUCAACAAGUUGAGUAGUUACAUUAAGGUGACGCUUUAAACUAGAAAAUCGACGUUUUUAAACCUCUUCGUCUCUAAAAAGGUGGAAAGCCGAACUGUCUUUUCGGUUUCGGCCAAUGUACUUCGAAAAUGAAUUCAAUGAGGCGGUUGUAAGCCUUAAGACUGAGGAAGUAUUGGGAAAUCACAGAGCUAUCACUUCAAGGGGUUGCGAAGUUUUUAGCCUUAGUCCGGGCGAGAGUUUAACCAGCGCGAGCGGAGAGCCUGAACAAAUUGCCGAAGGAGUACAAACCGGGAGAGGAGUAGAUUAGAGAAGAAGUUACGUAGGUUCGGGUGGUACGCCAGUAGCUAGCCGGGCAAUGACCGCUCUUAGUAUCGAUAAAAUAGUUGUAGAUGUCCGGGUAAUUAGGGCAUAAGGAAAACGUGUCUAAAUUCGGAAAAAGGUUUUAGAAACCUGUCUAUAAGUCAAAAGUCGAAGACUACGACGAGGUGCAGGACGAAGAGGGUAUUCGACACGUGUAAAUAUCGCUUUCGAGCGUAACAUAGAUAAUGUGGUAAAAGCCUAUAGGAAAGGUCCCAAACUGUGGUUAGUAACCGUCACUACUUGUGUCCUCCCCGAGGGUAAGCCGACCCUCUCUUACCAUGAAGAGGUAGUCCACAAAGAAGAAAGAGGACCUCUUCGGUAAAGUCGUUGGUCGGCAAUUCCCGAAGCUACAUUCGGAAAACCCAAACUUAGGUUAGAGACUUUGUGCUUCGGGUCAAGUCCUCGAGAUCGAGAUUGAGAUAGCAGCGGAAACUUCGUCUUGAAGCAUCUGGGGGUUUAAAACCAUAAUCCAAAACCCGAAACGAAAGUUGGUAGCGAACCUUAACGAACGCUACUGUCAGCUCCUGUUUGAAGGUGUAAGAAUAAUCAGACGUCUUUUUUACCGUGAAUUAGUGUUACAGUGGUACUUCGGUAUCUAUAGGGAUACAAUAAAGUACCUUGAUGUUCCUCGUUUAUAUACUGCUGAGAAGCCGGGUUACCUGGGAUGAUAAAACGAUUUUGUUUUAACACUUCAAGUUCCUUUUGUUUAUUUUGGACAGGUUUGUCUUCGACGCUAAGUAUAAUUAUAUAAAAGUGUAGUUGUACAUCUUCUUUGGACUACAAAAAUUGUAUACGUGUUUCUCUCCAACCAAAAGUUUAAAGUUAUGGGAACCUAAUUAAGCUACUCGACGCCGACGUUAAGUAGUAGAGAAUCGAACACUUAGGACGAUCUUUAUCGUAAAUGUCUAGACUACUGUUAUAAAUAAGAGCAGUGGUUGCGGAAAUAACUUCGGGCUCACCUUAGUUAAAGUACUCGGAGACGAGGUAAAAGUAGAUUACGAAAAUCAGCGAAGGUGAGAGAUAGUAUCUACUGGGAGUCUAAAAGAAGAAGGAUCUUGUCAGUGUACUAUUACAGUAAUCUUUGAUUAAAGUACUAAGAAGAAAAACGUGUGUUGUGAUUAGAGUCUCUCACUUUUUCCGGUUUUUACCGUCAACUAGGUUGGUAAAUUCGCCAAUAGGACGUAUGGUGUGUUUGUUGAUCACGAAUUAACACAAUAUCCUGCAUGGAAUUGAAGGAACAUUUCAAAAAAGAGGGUAAGUACGUUGGACAGGUUAUGACUACAUUCCAACGAUUCGAGUUUUAGUAAGUGGGAGAGCCUUAAACAUACUUAUCGGUAUAAGACGAAGUAUAGAGGUCAACUUACACCUCUCGAGAAGCUACAGGCUCUACUACAACGCCUUGCGUCUCUGUAUCUUAUGUUCUAGGAACUAUUCUAUUGACGUUACUUGAUAUAAAUUAGUUAAAAGACGUAUAAAAAGACUGUUACUUCGUAAAGAAAUUUUAUUUGCGUCCUUUUUAUGACCGUUUUUUUAAAGGACGCGUUUUCUACGUGUUCACGAUUUAUUCUUUUCGGUUACAUGAGUUAAGCGUUAAGUCUUAUAGCGGAUAUCUUGACAACAAAACGUUAUUAUACCUUGAACGAAGAUUGAAUUCGACUUUUCCGAAUUUGGAUUUUAAUCCUGUUAGUUAGUGUAGACGUUCAAAUGUACGUAUGAUUUCACCCGUUAUAUAAAUUCUAUAUUUCAGCUUCUUCACUUUAUGGGUGUAGAAUUUUAGAAUAAGGAGCUAGAUAUCGCGUCGGAGGGUUGGAGCUCUUAAGAGCUCUGGAGAAGUGGUGUUGAGCGACGCAUCAACUUGACAAGGAAAUAAAGGACGUGGUGAAGCCGCUGCAGAGAGCAGGGUACUUGUCUGUAAUGUAAGAGAAAUGAGCGAGCCGAUGGUAAUGAUUGGUUACUACAUAGCAGGAGCUUCGAGUGAGGAAAUUGGAAGCAGUGUACAUGAAGGAGGAAGAGGACGAGGAGGAAAUGUGAGGGAGAGCGAAGCGAUAGAAGGCUCCUCACUUAUGAGAGUAAGAGAUAUUGUUGAAGUAGUAAGUGGAGUAGGAGAAACACAAGGCGCCGAGGAAAACUUGAGGGUUGUGACCUUGGGAAGAAAGGACUCAGUGAAGGGCAGUGGAAGGAGAGAAAGCGACGAAGAAAGUGGCAGAGAACGAGGCAGAGCAGAAGGUUUAGUCCUUAGGGAAGAGAGAGGGAGUGGAGCGAACUUAAGCCCGAUGAACAGUUGCUUCAGCGGCGCAUGGGUGAGGCUAGUAUGGGGCCUUUGUUGACGAGUAUUCUUAACUUUUCUAACUUCUUUAGGGUUCUCCUCGGGAGACGACGGCGGCAGCCGCCGCCGCCACCUCGUCACCUAAAGCGAAGGGAAGCGCCUGAGCGGCCACGGCGUAAGAGUAUUUUUCAGACUAGAACUUGUCCUCCUUACCAUCUCGGGUACCUUAUUGGUAUUUAGCCUAUUAAUAGGAGCAUUAGCAUUGAGUGUUUACGAACUAACCUCAUUCAUCACAUCCCAAGAACCUUGUGACACCAACCAAAGCAGCUUGAGCUGAAGUACAUCACCAUUAACCCCUAGUGUAAAGGUUGUAACCUCUUUCCUCGUAUUCUUCCUCCUAUUCCUCCUCCUAUUCCUCCUAUUUUUCCCAUUCUUCCUAAUCUGGUACUUUUGGGAGGAGGAGGAGGAGGAGGUAUACGAAGAGGAACACCAUGAGGUGGACGAGGUUGGAGCUAAGGUGGUAAAAGGAGGCUCUAAAGCGGCACUAGGCUCAGGCUUACCCUUACAUCCACGCUUAGCGCGCUUCGCCUCGCUCUUUAGCUUCCCUCUCUUCUCCUCCUCCGGCGCGGAGGAGGCGGUGACAGCGGUAACAGCGGUAACGCGAGCCUAGGCAGCUAGAACCCGAACCUGAACGGGAAGGGGAGCCUCCCCCCCUCGCACUCGUGCCCGCUGCGGGGGCGGCGCCGGCGGAGGCGGCGGCGGCGCCGCCGCUCCGGGAGGACCUUUAUGAAAAAUAUAAUACUAUUCUCUAAUGAGUUUUCCAAAAAAAAAUAUCAAAUUUAUUUUAAAAAACUUUUAUGCAAGAAAAAAUUAUAAAAAUCUAGGAAUAGUAAUAAUUUCCCCAUAAAGCAUAAUUUCCCUUUCAAAUUUAGUAGUUUACCCAAAAAAUAAUAAUAAUUAAAAAAACAGUGGACAUGGAAAGUAAAUGAAAAUUACAUAACCACGCGCACUUCACAACAAGGUCACAAAAAUCUACCAACAAAAGCACGAUCUUUUAGAUUUCCAUUAACAAUUCACACUGUAAUCAAACAGAUCCACCACUCGAAACCCUCCUAGAAACCCUAAUCGCACCAAGAACUAAGUAGAUCGGAGACGAAUCUACAAGCAAGGGCGAGUAAAGAUCCAAUCGGAUCGGGCCUCACCUCGUCGCCACCCUGCUGCACCAACUCGCCGUGCCGCCCCGUCUCGCUAUCAUGCUGCCAAGUCUCGCCGCCAUGCUGCCCUACGCCGCCGCCGUGCCCCGUUCGCGGCGCCGCUAGGGUUAGGGAUAGGGUUUUGAGAGAGGGGUGAGAGGGGUGAGGGAUAGGGUUUUUAUUUUUUAUUUUCAUGAGAAGGGUGAGAGAUCGUAUACAAAGAGAGGAAGGUGAGAUGGUCUCAUGAGCUUCAAGACUUGGUGGGCUUCGGGAAUGAAAUCAAGUUGAAGGUUGAUGGGUCAUUCCCAUUCCAGUCAGGAAUAGGAAUCCCAAACCGAUUCCUGCGAAUCAAACAAAAUUAAUCGGAUUUGAUCAAACCGAUUCCCAUUCCAUAUGUCACGCUCUGGAUUCCUUGUUUUUCCGGGCACGCUAACAGACCCGCCGUAUACAUAGAAAUUUUUUCUGUAUACGAAGCGAAGCUGUACCUGUAUUUGUAAUUAUACAACACUACAGCCAGUAGUAUAGAGCUGCAGAAAAAAAAAACAACUGAACAAUAGAAGUUCACUAUACAUACAUAGCAUCCUAGUAUACAAAAAUUACUCGCUCUAGCGAGAAACAACAUCAGCAUGUAUAAUAAACCAAAAAUUACAACUACCUGCAGCUGGUACUCAUCUAGCUCAGCAACUCGACAGGAAGGGCUCUAACUUGCAACACCCUUUCCGCGAUCAGAAUCAGCAGUAGCAGCAGCCGCAACCGAAGGCUCUGCAAAAGAUUCUAACAACUGGGCGUGAGAACUACUGCAAAAAUAAGUAGUCCUCAGUGGGUACCGCCCUCAAACUCAUCGGCUCACCUACCAAGUCUACGGAUGUAUGCUCAAAUGAUAGUAAGGAAGCUGGAAACAAUCUACAACUAUAUGCCACUAUACUACCAUGAUCCGACACUACUAUCUGUAGAAUAAGGCAAGCUCUGACCCAAUCUUACUAGGGACUGUAAACAUGCCCGUCCCAGGGACUAUGAACACACCCGUCCUGCCUGUCGAAGUUAUACAGCUAUCUCCACACUAAGCAGUCCGUAGAGAGCAAGUCCAAACAUGACACAACGACACCAACGUAAAUGCACAAAGCCCGACUCUGAAGUGGCACUCGUGGGCGCUACCCAACUGAGUAUGCAAGCGUAUCUCUGUCGAGCUCAAUCAGGCUCUUACAGGCUAAGAUCGAAGUAAACAAGGUCCAACUGGUCUAACUACCAAACUCACGUGCCCUCGACACAAUCUGAUGCAAAAACAGCAAUCUGUGUCCACCGUCAACCUCAACGGUAUCCGACAGUCCGGAACAGCCUAAAUACUGCUGUAAAAAUAAGCUCGGCAUCUCAGCACGAGCGUAAAUACAUUUUACACUAUCCUGGAUAUCCACCGCCCACAAACUGCUGUGAUACAAACAAAUUACAGCUCCUGGAGCUAAAUCUGGUAGUUUUAACAUCUGACAGUGUAGAAGCGCUAGUUUUCUCCUAAAUCAAUUCCAAGUCCAACAUAUAUAAUUUAUCUAACUUACUACAACAUGCUCCAAAUUCAGAUUUUAUUUAACAUGUUAAUCGAUGAAUUCGAGCUAAACACAUGAUAUGCAACUAGCAGUACUGCUGAAAAUAUACAUGUUGACUACGCGUACAUUUAGGAGGAGAAUCCGAUGAUUAACCAACCUCAACACAAGCUCGACGACAGUCCGAACCUCUGGAAAAACUCUCGAAGUUAGCCGAGAUCACCUAGGUCCAGCAACAAAGCUACUCCAAAUAUCUUCACACUAAAAGCGUCAAACUUUCAAUAAAAAUCCAAAAUUCUGCACUUAAGCAUGAAGUAGCUUCAAUCAUAAUGUCAACUUCACCUUUCGAUCUUCAAAUCUGGUGAAGCAAGGUUCCAAAACCAAUAGACAAUGCUGGAGUAUCCUUCUCUGGUUCAAAAUCCGGCUCCUUCAAAGAAUUGCAUUGAAGAACACCAAAAUACUCAAAUUCAGCUUCAAUGUAGCAGCAGUCCAGAAGGACAGUAAUUCGACCAUACUAACCUCAAUCAAAUUUUGUCAAAUUGGGCUCCACGAAUUCUUCUUGAAGUCAAGAAUCCACCAAACCAAGUUUCGUGGCAAACGGAGUUUCCUACGUUGCACACGAGUCGAAACACCGAAGAUCGCCGCUAGAAAACUGCUAGAAUUGCAGCCCUCUAGUUGAAAGUGCACAAAUUGGAGGAAUUGAAGCAAUUUGAGGUGUUAGAUGCAAUUCUAAGCCUUUGAAAAAAGGAUGAAAAGGGUUCACCGGGGGCGUACAUAGCCUAUUUAUAGGGAGGUGAAAAGAUAAGAUAAGCCCCAAGAACUCUAAACACAAAUCUGCUGUCCCUGCAGAAAUCCCCACUUUCGGGCACCCAAAACAUACAUCUGGGCGUCCGGAACCUCCAGGCUAUACAAAAGCUUCCCUUUGGUUCCUCCGCCGCGGUAUGCUGCGCCCGUAUCCGGCUCCGGCGGACCUCACCUACCACCAGCCACGUGUCAGCGCAAACGAUACUCACGAAGUGAAUUUUCGGACCCACUUCUGGGCGCCCGAAACUAGGAUCCGAAUUGUCUUCCAAUUCUGCUUAGUUUAGCACUCGAGUUCUGGGCGAUCCAAACUUUGUUCUGGGUGCCCGAAACUGGCAAAACUUUAGUUUUGCUUAUUUGAGUGCGUCGAGUCCAUUUCUGCAUCCAUUUUGUGCAGAAACGACUCCAACUCAGUCCGACACUCUCCAGAUGUGUCGGUCAGUCACUAAUACUAUAGCCAAUCCUAUCCAAACCUCAGCGACACUACACCAUAUCCAAAAUGGAGGAACCAAACAAGCCCUAAGAUUCUUAGAUGUCUAUAUAUAUAUAUAUAUAUAUAUAUAUAUAUAUAUAUAAAAUGUUCCUCAUGGAGUACGCUUGACUAACAUCAUUGCAAUCUUUUUUUCAAAGAGUAACACUUUUGAGCAGUGAGUAUUCUUUAUGCGGCCCUCAAACUACGUACUAUUAAUAACCUGGCUAUGCUUCAGAGCACGUGCAUGCGUACGUAAACCAAUCAAUAUUAUAUUUUACAAUUAUCUGCUUAUCAGUGAUUUUUAAAAGAACCUUCAGUAUGUAAUUGAUUUUUUCACGAAGAAGGACCGUCAUAGUGCGAAAGGCUUUUUCUGAACUAGACUGCAGAAGCUGAUAUUAUUUUCUCUAUUCCUACUAGCCCUAGUGUGUGCAAAUCCACUAAGACGUGUACGUACUUGGUGAUAAGGUAGAACCCCACAAAAAAAAUGGUGGAUAUAGAGUGUGGUGCACGCGCAUUAUACAUGAUGGGCGGAGCUGGUCUCCUUUUGUACUAAUCAAUCAUAACCAGUACUAUCGUAGCUAUCAUGCUCAUGUAGCGAAGUUUGUAAUAUGCUACAUGUGCGCGCUAGUUAUAAGCUAGAAUAUUACUUCUCUCUAGUCGAUACAUAACCGCUCCAUUAUAUGAUGUAUAAACUACGUACAUUAGUUAAAAUACAACAGAUACUUUUAAAUUCAUGAUUUGUAUAAAAUUAGUUAUUCUCCUGACGCACACCAAGUUAACUUUUUAAUCUUUAAAAAGAAACUGCUUCUCUAACUCAAUCCACUCAAACAUAAUAUGCCUAUCAAUUACGAACAGUUACUACGUACCACUAGCUGGCAAUAGAACAUGCUAAUCAAAUCAACCUAUAAAAUAUAACAUUUAUAUACAAUAUAAUGGUUAAGGUACUAAAUAAUUCACAUGAGGAACAGUCAACACUCCCAUGUAUCCAUCAUUUUUCUUUAAAUAUUGUUAGAUAUAUCUUAAUUUAAUUUUGAAAUCGCAAGGUUUCUAACUCUACUAUAUUUUGGUUAAUUAUUUUAUGGAAUUAAGUUUAAAUUAUACUUAAUUUUAUUGAGAUAAUUUCUAGUCUUAUUAAUUUUUUAGUUUCUAAUAUAAAUAUACCUUUUGCUUUAUUAAUUUGGUGCAGCAGAUAAGAGAAAAUAUAGAUGUAUAUUUAGGGUUAGGAUUUCAUGAGAUAGUCAUCUUUUGUACUCCACUUUAAAUAUAACUAGUAAAGCGGCCCGCGCUUUGCAACGGGUAGAAACCGUAGUAGUAAUUAAUAAUAAGAAAAUAUUAAACAUUCUCUUGUAUAUCUCACUUGGUACAUCCACCAAAGGUCACGGUGGAACAGAGAAGUGGGCUCGCAUUAGUGAGAGAGAGGGAAGGAACGAGGGAAAAAGACGAUGGUGUAUAGCAAAAGAUGAGAGAUAGAGAAUUGAUGAAUGGAUUGGAGAUAAAGAAUUGAAAAUUCGGUGGAAGGAAGGAAAAUGACCAUGAUUAAUAAUUGGAGAUAAAGAGGUUAGGAUUAUAGAUGGUAGUGGGACUAUUUAAAUAUACUAAUUGAAAGUUUGAUAGUGGGACUGUUUGCAUUAAUUGAAAGUAUAGUGGAAGGAAGGGAAAAAAUCAUAAUGCGUAAUUGUAGAUAGAAACAAUAGAAUUGUAGAUAGUAGUGGAACUAUUUAAAUGCACUAAUUGAAAGUUUGGUUAGUGAGACCGUUAAAAUGUAUAUUGAAAGUUUGGUGAAGGGAAGAAGAAGAGUUACAUGCUAGUGAAGGUGAAGGAGAACUUGCCACAUGUCAACAAAUAUUGAGAAUUCAUAUAGGUUAAUAGAUGAAAGUUUUUAUUCUGUUUUCUUUCAUAAACGUACGUAGGUCUGUGAUCGAAUCACGUAAAUAUUUAUGUACUUUAUUUUUCUUCUCUCUUUCUCGAUUCUCUUUUGAUAUUUUGUGUUCGAGAAUUAGAUCUCUAUCCUUGUUCAUAACAAACUGGUAUCACAGCAAGUUGCAGAUUUAUAACAAAUAUCAGUGUUUCUACGGGUGCGGAUUCUAUGGCAAUCAAUUUUGGAUCCUAAUAGUUGAUAUAUGGGUUAAAGCAAAUCAUUUGCAACACUAGCCCCUUCCUAAUUAGGAGACUCAUUAAGCCAUUGAUUCCUUAUAAUGACCAUAUUGUAGUAGCCUCAUAAUUUUACACUUUGUUGUAGAGUGGUAGGGAGAGUGAGGUGAUUGGGCCAUCUCUUUUUAGAAGCUAUCCCACCAUUUCUGUAGUGAGGCAUGAAUUUAUAUUCCUUCAGUUUGUGGAUGGUCCCUACAAGUUGCAAUUUGAAUACUUUUCCUUUCUUUAGUUGAGCACCACAUGAACACAAAAGUUAACCAAUAGAGGGCUAAAGGGUUCACAUUUGGUUUGAUGUAAUAUAAUUAGCUUUUGUGGGAGCAGAUCCUUAGAGAAAUUGCCCUUAAUUUCUUUGAUGGAUUUGGUCCUAGAGCACUCUCCUAGCAUUCUAUUUGUAAUCUUGGCACUUUGCACUGCCCUUAGGUGCGUUUUUAAAGCAACACUUUACUUGUUUACGGGCAUUUAAUGAAAACAUAUAACACCUAUCUGAAUUAUGGACCAUUUUAAUUUAGCUACCUAAUCUUUGAAAAUUUUGAUUUGAAUAGGUUAAUUCCACUUUGACUUUAAAUUUUGAACGAGUUAUUUAUCUUUAUAGAUUUUGUAAAUACAUUUCAUGCAUGCAAUUCUCACAAUUAUAUAUUUAUUCAAAUGAUCUAUAGUUUAGGUAAAUUUUAUAGGGUUUUACCAAAAGUUUCUAGUCUUUAAACAUAGAAAUUCUAGUAUGAAACUUUAAGCACACCCCAUGUAUAAUUGCAAAAUGGUAACAGAGAAAGUUUAAUGAACAAUAUGUCACUACUAAUGGGUUAAUGUUCAUUUCACGAUUUAUAAUAUUUUUAAAACUUUUUGUAUUUUCUAUUCAAAAUAUUCAAAUUUUUACAAUGUAACUCAAAUUGAAAAGUUGAAAGAAGUGUUGGUAAAAUUAUAGAAUCAUCAUGCAUUCGUAACUAGUACAAAUUUUUAAUACCAUUUAUUCAGAUAUCUUGUUAAUUAUUUGAAAAUUUGACGGCAAUUACGAAAGUUCAUUAAUAGAAAUAUACAAGUUUCUAAUAGUCUCACAAUUCUAGUGGCAUGAUUAAUUGGUAAUAAAUUUGUCAUUCUAAAUAUAAAGUAUAUGACAUUACUAGAAUAUAUAAACACUAGAACGACAGCUCCCGAAAAUCAAUGAAAUAACUAAAAUUAAGAUAAAUUCCUGAGACUAGGAUCUAAUUGCAGUAAACAGACAAUAAAUACGUAUAGAACUUAUGUAAACUAUUGACUGUUUUGAUUUUACUAUCCAAUAUUUCAAAAUUUUUGACUUUACCACCUAAUCUUUUAAUUUAUUUGAUUUGAGUCAGUCAACGACACUUUGGCUUUAAAUUUUAAAUGUGUCAUUUUUGCUUUACAGAUUUAAUAAUUAGUAUACCUCAUGCAAUUUUCGCAAUUAUUAAUUUAUUAAAAUAAAUAAUUAGUUUAAAUUUUAAGUCAAGGUAUCAUUGACGGAUUCAAGCCAAACAAAUUUAAAGGUUGGAUAAUAAAGAUAAAAUUUUGAAAGAUUAAAUAGUUAAAUUAAAAUAGUUUAUAAUUGUUAGAUAUGUCUCGAAUUCUAGAACCGCAAUUAGAGUCCGCAAAAUUUUUUAACCCUAUUAUAUUUUGAUUAUCUCAUUAAGUUAAGUUUAGAUUAUGCCUAAUAUAAUUAAGAUAUUCCUAAACUUAAUGGUUUUGUAUUCUUAAUCGUAUUAGUAUUUAACUAUUAUUAUAAAUAUACCUUUUAUUUCAUUAAUUUGGUGCGGUAGAUGAGGGAAAGUAUGGGCGUAUUUUUUGGGACUAGGAUUUUGUUAUAUAGGCAUAUCUUGUACACCACUUUGAUUAUAAUGAAAAUCUUCAUUAUGUUUUCGUUCGUGGAUAUGGGCCAGUGGCCGAACUAUAUAAAUAUCAUGUGUUUUAUUUUUUUUCUCUUUUUCUCGAUUCUUCGUUGGUAUUUUUGCAACCGAUGAACUAGAUCUUCACUGUUUUUGCUGCAACAAUAAUUGAGAUAAAUUUUGUAUGAUUUUACCUAGGUUAAAAGCCUCCUUGAAAAGGAAAGGACUAUACACUGUGAAUUUAUGGUAACAGAGCAGAGUGACGCAACAAUUGCAUCAUUGUUGUUGUCACAAGGCACUUAGUGUGGGGAGGAGGGAUGCAGGUGGACAGGACAACACUACAACGCAUUGCCGCACUCAUUCGCCAAAGAUGGUGGAGUUUAACCCUAAUCAGAAGAAGCACAAGGCUCUCUAGGUGGAUGUCCACAUAAGUUAUCUUGUAAUAAUUUACACGGUAUAAAGAGUUUUUGUGUGAGCAGAAGUUGAGUUUGAUUUUUGCUCUUAAAAAAUUUUUGACAUCAAUAAUUUGAUAAGUUAGUAUAUUUCAACUACGAAAUUAUUUAUCUCCUCACGUACUGAGUUUUGCCGACUCCUUUAGUAAAUCAACAUGAUGCUGAAUAAGAUGUUCACGUCUCCAAAUAAAAUCUAAUCAAAUUACAGUAUGUUGUCACAGAUUAGAGAAAUAAUUUAAUAUGGCAUUAUAAAAUUUAAUGAUAAUCAAGGAGAAAGCGUUCGUCAGAAAGGGAUAAACGACCAAGGUGAUCUCCUCUCCUUAUUUAGAUGAAGCGUCACAGAUUGGAGAAAUAAUUUAAUAUGGCUUUAUAAAGUUUAGUGAUAAUCAAGGAGAGAGCGUUUGUCAGAAAAGGAUAAACGACCAAGGUGAUCUCCUCUCCUUAUUUAGAUGAAGGAGGAGGAGAAGAAAGGAAAGAAGAGAAAGUAAUAAUUGGCGUCACAGUUUAUAUUAAUUUGGAUCCAUGGUCGUGGUUAGAGGCUGUCGACACUGGACAGAUUUGAAUUUGGAACGUGCAAUACUGGCUUGAUUUUUUCUCAAGCUCGAGCUAGACUAAGAACUUGCUCGAUCUUUUUUUGUAUUUCUAAGUUUUCAGUCUUUGUUUUAAAUAUUUUAAUAUAAUUCUUUAGAAUACAUGUUGCUAGUGUUUCUAUCAAUACACUUUUGUUAAUUUUUUUAAAAAAAAAUAUUCAAAGUUUACAUAUUUUAAAUGUUUCAAAGGAGAAGAAAAAAUAUAAAUAAAUAUAUAAUAUUCAAAAGCACCGAUUAAAAAUAAAAAGUGUUGGAACAUACCAUGCCGUCAGGUUCAGGCAAUGAUGGCCCAUAUGGUUCGGGCCUCCAUGGCACUGCCUGGCAUGGCCUGCUUGACUGGCCAGGCCCGAGUUUGUUACCAGAUCCAUGCCAGACGGCCCUUUUUUUUUUUUUUUUGGUUAUCCCUCCUGCAUUUCCUUUCGCACAAAAUCAUAUAUGUAAUGUAAUGUAAAACCAACCUGAUACAGGACACCGUCAGUCUGGCGGUUGACCCAGUUCCAGUGUCCGGUCACAGGUCGCUCCCUGCCUUACUCCGCCUCCGAAGAACCCGCCCAGAAGGCGCCGACCCGCCGCCGACUCAAGACAGCCCGUCCUUACGCUUCUCUUUCUCUCUCAGGUGACCGAUUGACUGACUGUCUGUCAUCCGACAAUUAACUGCCAGCCCUAGUAAAUCCCUUCUCUCAUCUGGAUCUCCCACUCUCUUCUACCCCUCAUUAGUUAUAUACGCACAAAAAAAAAAACAACAACAAUAAUAAAAUGAAUCCUCCUCUCUCCUCCCCCUCCUCCUCCACUCCCUCUCCUGCCUCCUCUCCCUCUCCCUCGCUUCCGCCUCUCCGCCUCCUCCUCUUCCUCUUCCCUCCCCCUCCCCCUCCCCUCCCCCAUCCCCUCUCCCUCCCCAGCUUCUAUCCCCUCCCCCUCCUCCUCCGCCGCCGGCGGCGAGUACGAGAAUAGUCGCGGCCGGCACGGCAUAUCCGUCCGGCCUCCUCCUCCCUCCCCGACCCGGCCGACACCGCCCGCGCCUUCCGCCUCCUCGCCGCCGUCCACGCCGAGCAGCGCCGCGCCUCCUCCCACCCCUCGCCCCCCUCGCGUCACCCCACCAUCCCCGCCCUCCAAUUCCCCCUCCUCUCCUCCCUCGCCCACUCCCUCCUCUCCUCCCCUUCCCCUCACCUGGCUCCUCGUCGAACCCCCCCCUCCCCUCCCCCGCCUCCGUCUCCGUCUCCAUCUCCGUCUCGCUUCUCGCUCGCUUCCCCCUCCGCAUCCUCCCCCUCCGAUUCCCCGGCCCCCUCCCCACCAAUGCCGCCGAAUCCCGCAUGCGCCUCCACGCCCUCAGGUUCACCACUAAUCCCGAACUCAUUCCCACAUUUCUCCCCUUCUUGUGCAAUUCAUUAAUGUCGACUAAGAGUUUUACCUACCGCAAUUUAGAGUAAUUAGGGAGAGAUGGAUGGAGGGAAUUGUGGUUUUCGCCGACGAUAGUAAUGUGCACAGCUUGGAGUUCUUUGAUGAAGUACAAAAGGUGAAGUGGAUGGGGGCAGUGUCGAUCGGGAUGCUCGCACAUUCCGGGAGCUCCAAUGAGUAUAAGAAGGAGGAGGAGGAUGGCCUGCCGGUUCCGAUCCAGGGACCGGCCUGCAACGCGUCGGGGCGGUUGGUCGGGUGGCAUACGUUCAAUUCGUCGCGGUAUGCCGGGAAGAUUGCGACGUUUGCGGGUGAGGAGGGGAUGGUGCUGCCGGCGAGGAUGGAGUGGGCGGGGUUCGUGCUCGAUUCGAGGCUGGUGUGGGAGGCGGCGGAGGGGAGGCCGGAUUGGGUGCGGGAUCUCGAUGAGGUCGGAUUGGACAGGGAGGGGGCUGAGAGCCCGCUGGAUUUGUUGAAGGACGCGGCCGCGGUCGAGCCUCUUGGGGACUGCGGGAAGAAGGUGAUGCUGUGGUGGCUCCGGGCGGAAGCGCGAUAUGAUAGCAAGUACCCGCCUGGGUUAGAUUUCUGAACUUUUCGCCGUAAAUUGGUAGUAAUUCUUUAAUUUAAUGAUUGGUUAUUCUUGAUUUUCUUGACCUUCUGAUGCCAACAUAACUUGCUUGAAUGGUUGAACCAUUGUUUUUUGGUUCGAUGUUGUUAUUCUGCAGAUCAGAAAAGAUAAAAGAAAUUGAUCUUGAAAAACCUGCUGAUGGAACUAACUGAACAAUUAGUUUUAUGUUUUCGUGCAUCCUCGCCAUGAGAGAUUGUGAAUAGGAGGUGUCUUCUAUAAGGCACAAACAAUUUGAGUACCGUCAAGCCCAACAUGUCAACUAAGAUUCGCAGUUCCUUGACUUUAGCUUUCGUGUUUGCAUUGGAUAGGUAAUGAAUAUGAUAGUCACCCAAUGCAUAUCAGAUACUUUGUAGGAGUACAUAAAAAAUGCCCAGAUGAGCAAAGAUUACUCGAAAUCUCAGGCCUUCUUGCUAAUUUGGGUUGUAAUCAUUCUUAAGCGGCCUUUGUACAAUUUGUCUUCAUUCAUAUCCUGUGUUCAUAUCUGCACAACAAAGCUUCGUAAACAUGCUUUCUCUGGGUGAAUCAGUGGACAAGUAUGUAGUUUAGCAAUUGAGGCCGUAGAUAGAAGCAGCACAUAGAAAAUAAUAGAUAGAUAUUAUAUUACAAUUUAAUGUCAUGAAAUCUGGCUAAUUAGUACUAUGAGAUGUUCAAGGAAAUUGUUGAACUGUUAUAGACUGAGUUUCCAACUCUUCAUCUAUUUCUUCUCUUGCUAUCUAAUGCUUGUUUAUUGUUGUCAGGCUUUAUUCUCUAAGUGACCAUUUUAUCUUUCGUUUAUAAACAAUGCUGUAACUAAUUUAUGGCAUUGCCUCAUCUAGUGUAUUUUAACAAUUAAACAACAGCAACAAGAAGGCCUAUAUCCCAAUGGUUGUGUUAGAACGUCCAUACUAUUGGUGUUUGUUCUUGUCUAUGUGCCGACUACAGCAUGAAUUGAAUCACCUCUCUUUUAGUACAACAUGUGUUAUUUCCUUUAGUUGUCAACUUGCUCCAUGAAGUUUUCGUAGUGAAAAGAAGUGAAUGUCUAAGGUAAAUAGGUAUUUGAUUGAAGAAAGAGUUAGACUAAUUUGAUAUCGGAAAGCUUGUUUCCCUGUAAGACAUUCUUUGGCAUUAUUUUUGGUGCAGAAUGCAUAUCUGUAGAUUGAAAAUCAUUAUCCAUGUUCAUGAAAGGUUACAAAUAGUAAUUUUUGAGUCUUUUCCUAGUUUAAGUUUACCUACUUUAAGUAUGAUUGUUCCCCAUGGAAAUGGAAUUCAUAACUGUAAGAGUUAGACUAGUUUGAUAAGACAUUCUUUGGCUUUAUCUAUAGAUUGAAUAUGGUUAUCCAUGAUUGUGAAUGGUUGCCAAUUUUUUUUUUUUUUGAGUCUUCUCCAAAUUCAUUCUUAUCUACUUUUCUUUGGUAAUUAUGUUAUAGAAUAUUAGAAAUUUGAGUUCAUUUCAAGAUCCUAAUGAUUUUUCAAGAUGGUGAAUUCCAGCUACAAUUUGAUUUGCCAUAUCCUUAAUAAGGGGGAUAACCUAGUCCUUCAUAGUCAACUUCUUUUUGAUGCCUCUCAACUAUCAACUAACAAAGGCCCUCGAGUAAAUAAACAUAGAUAUAAACUAUCACAGUAUCCGAACAGGCUCUUAGUUUGAAUAUCUGCAUAAGGAUUUGCUCUGGCUACAGAACAUCCUCCCUUGUGAUCAACUGCACUGCAGUGUUUACUUUACUAUAGUGAUUGUGAGCCGUUAGAGAGUAUGGUUAUAACUGAAUCUUUGCUCGAAUAUCACUGAUGAUUACUUACAAUAUUUAGCUCUUCUGCGAGUCCUUGCUCUAUUGAUGUCAUUGUUUUAGUCACCACUCACCACAAAAAAUAGAUUUCUGAAAAGAUCUCAGCUCGUACUUUCAUGGAACAUCACAUGGUCUGCUCUUAUUUAACCUUAUGUUUUGCUGUGCAGAUGGAUAAUUAAUCCUCCAUUGGAUAUCGUUGUUCCUGCAAAACAAACACCAUGGCCUGAUGCGCCUCCCGAACUCCCACCUUUGAGAACGACAAGCCACCAUGAUCAUGCUGAAAAACGUUCUGCAAAGAGCAGUAGAUCUUCGAGGCCAAGACACAGCUCUCGCAGUAAAAGAAAGCGUGACUCACUCGUUGACUCACGUUCUUCUCCAUUGUCCCAGAGACAUGUAUAACUGCGCGGAUUUAGAUUGGGUCUUUACAAACUUAGGUUCCUUUAAUUUGCUCCAUCAUAUACCUUUACUACUACUCUGCGUUAGUACGCAUACCUUUUGUCUGUUUGUUGUAACAAUCUCAUGUGUUUAGCGUUAGAAAUGAUACUUUGUUCUCCAUGAUAAGAAAUUUCACCUAAGGCACCUACUUAUCGGUGGCCGUAUUAGUUCUUGUAAAUUUGAUACUACAAUGGAGGGGCCUUGGAAUGAGAUUAUCGCAAUCCGGAGACAGAAACAUCCAUGUGUUUUUGUUGGUACAAUUCUAACGUGUAUCUGUUUCGAACACAUUAUGUAACACUCCGAGAUGAUCUUAGCUCUUAGUUUAAGUUGUUCCUGGGUAGAGAAAGUACCAAUUGAAGGACAUUUGUAGGAUAGGUUCAGUGAUGUAAAGCAUAUGCCUCUUUUGUGCAAGUUGUACCCAAGAUUCCUCCCAGUGUUCUAAGUAUGACAUGCAUCUGUUAAUGUAUUUUUAGUGGGUAAAUUGCAUGGUUACCCCCUAAAUUUUUGGCGAAGUUUCACUUUACCCCUUGAACUUCUAAAAUAGACAUCUAACACCCUAAACUUUAAUAUUUCAUUUAUGUUAUUCCUUCCGUGAGUUUUCCGUCAAGCUCCGUUAACCGAAAACUAACGGAAGGAGUAAAACGAAUGAAAUAUUAGAGUUUAGCAUGUUAGAUGUCUAUUUUAAGAGUUUGGUGGUUAAGUAAAACUUGCCGAUAGUUCAGGAGGUAGCAGUGCAAUUUACCCUGUAGGACUCUUGACUAUAUAUUAUUUUAUUAUAAUAUGUUACUUAUGGAUUGACUACUAACCAUCAAGUUAGUGAUUAUGCUUGAUUUUGAAUUUAUAUAUAUUUUUUAUUUUGAAUUUAUAUAUAUUUUUUAUUUUAAAAUAAAUCAUACCAUAAUUUAUCCUACAUUUUAUUGUAAUAAAAUAAAAGCGAAAGAAAUGAAUUAGAGUGGCUUAAAGAUAAGAAAAGAGCGAUACUAACUACCUACGAUGCUCGCACACUCUACUGUCCUGGUGUACUCGCUAAUAUGGUUGAUUUACAAUAGGUGUCCUCACUUGGAUAUAGAGAUUUUAAUUCUCAGUUAAUUUUCUAUAGUACUCGUUUGUCCCUUUUAUCUUUAGAAGCAUUGUUCUAGAGUAUUAUAAAAUAUUAUUUUAUAUUUUUAUAUUAAAAAUUUCUAAUUGACUGAAAUGAAGUACAAAAAUUUUAUUUUAGGCUACAAUAAAAUUACAUUGCAUAAUUUCAUAGAAAAUAAGUGCAUUUUCUAGAACAAUACUUUUAAAUAAAAAAGGGACAAACGAGUACUACAGAAAAUUAACUGAAAAUUAAAAUCUCUAUAUCCGAGUGAGGACACCUAUUGUAAAUCAACCAUAUUAGCGAGUACACCAGGACAGUAGAGUGUUCGAGCAUGGUAGGUAGUUAGUAUCGCUCUUUUCUUAUCUUUAAGCCACUCUAAUUCAUUUAUUUCGUUUUUAUUUUACUUACUCUUUCAAGAGUGUCUGUAGUUAUUGAUAGGCAUGUCAAUGGGUAUGGAUAUUCGUAAUUUUAUUUGAAUCCGAAUCCGAAUCCGAAUGAAACUUGAUAUAUCCGAUGUUAAAUGAAUAUGGAUUCGGAUAUAAAUAUCAAAAAUAGAAACUCGACGGAUAUAAAUUCAGAUAUGAAUUUUGGCUGUACCCGACUCGAACCCAAAUCCGAUCCGAACCCGAAUUUAUUUUGUAUUAUAUAUAUAUAUAUAUAUAUAUAUAUAUAUAUAUAUAUAUAUAUAUAUAUAUAUAUAUAUAUAUAUAUAUAUAUUUGAUGUUAUAUUUGAAUUUAUAUUUUAAAAAUUUAGAUUUAAAUAAUAUAUUUUGAAAUAUUGAAAAAAAAAUAAUUGUUUCGGGUUCAAAUUUUCAGGUUCGGGUUCGGGUUUCGGAUUUUUGGUCGGGUUCGGGUUUGGAUAUGAAUUUUUAAAAUCCGUCAGGUUCGAAUUCGGGUUCGGGUAUCGGGUUUGGAGUCGUGUUCAGAUUCGGGUUUUUAAAAAUCCGUCCCGAAUCCGACCCGUUGACAUCUCUAUUUAUUGAUAAGAGUUAAUUUCAUACAGGUUUCUGUAAAUAUAGUGAAUUGCAAAUAUAUUCUUACAAAGUUCAACUUUUAUAUAUUGUCUCUGUAAAAGUUCUAAUAUUUUCAAAUAUGUCUAUUUGGUUUGUUAUCGUUAAACAACUGUCUAUUUUAUAAGUGAAAUGACCUUUUUGUCAUCACAAAUAUGUCUCUUUAAAAGUCCCAACUGUUAAUUGAAAAAGUGUUAAAAUCGGAACGGCGAAAAAUAGAUUCAGAAAAUAAUUUAAUGCAAGAAAAGAAAAGAUAAGGAAAGAACACACUAAUAUUUACGUUGUUCGGCCAACGGCCUACAUCCACGGACGAAGACGGAGCAAAUACUUUAUUAAUGUCGAAAAGACGGAGUACAAAAAAAUCUCUCAAAAGAUCAAAACUUAAUUAGAUCCGAAACGCUGCAACAAGCAACUCCAAAAAAACCGGCUCGGCUCCUCAACCCCAUACGGACUCUAAAGUGGCGCUAAUUAGAUUCGCCGGGGAUCCUUCACCGUACGGAACAUGAAUAGCUGGACUUAAUUAAUUUGCACCGAACACCAACAGCACCCAAGAAGAAAACAAUGUUGGCUAAUUAAUUAGAGGAUUGCAUGGCCCUUAAUUUGGUCGCGGCAAGAUUAAUUCGGUCGUAGUAUGUCUUUAUAAUACAUGUCUCCUAAAUAGAGCCUAAUCCUAAUUAAAUUAGAAAUUAGAUUCCGACUCAUAAUCCAUAUAUGCCAAAUUAAAUCUAAAUUAUAUCCAAUCCCAAUUAAAUUAGGAUUUAACUCUAAUUUAGAUAAUUACAAAUCUAAACCAAAUAUAACAAAAAGGGUAAAAGGUCAAUUUACCUCAUUAACUAACUACGGUCAAGUAUUUAACCUAUGGUUAACUAAAUUUUUCUAACGGAUUCUAGCGGUAUGGGCAUAUUCAAAAACAUCAGGAUUUUUAUAGAGACAACAUAUAAAAAUUAAACUUUAUAAAGAUAUAUUUACAAUUCAUUAUAUUUGUAGGGACCCGUGUGCAAUAAAACUAUUGAUAGUGCAAUGCAACUUAUGCUGGAGAAGGGCAGUUGCUGAGAAAGUGCUUGUGUGUACAUCCUCAUGAACAUCCCUAAAAACUUUUCUUAGGAAACAAGACAUGUAUUCAUGGGAAUUUCACCAAAGCACCGAGCACUACAUUGAGAAAUAUUAUUUAUCACGCAUCACUUUAUUUCAGUGUAGUACUCAAUGAACUGCAUGCAUGAUGAGUCCUUAUUUUGGUGCUUUCUUUUCCUCGCAGUGUUUUAGCUUCUAGGGAGAGAGGGUGAGGUGGUGUCUAGUCAUAAAAAUUCACUUUCGUGUUUGAUUUGCUGUAAUUUUAUCUUCGGUCGAAACUCAAAUUCUUUAAAGUACCGUAAUUGACUUUGAUUCAUCCCGAACUGAAGUCAAUUUUUGAAAAAAAAAAAGGAAAACAAUAGAACUAGAGAAACUUCAAUUUUACAACUAACUUUUAUUAAACUAUAUGAAACGAUCCAUUUAUCUCUAAUGGCUUAAGCUAUCACAUAGCGAUAUUGUUAAAAUUUUAUAUUCAGCAUUUUUCCUCACGUUCGGGCAUUUAAUUAAUGGGAGAAAUUAAACAACGAGCUUAAGAUAUCAAAAAAAUAGCUCAUAUCUCGGGCUUGAGAUUUUUUUGACAGGCCCAAGAUAUCGACUAAAUUGAAUGGAAGAAACUUAAAUAAAGAAUUUGAAAACCUUUUUCUUUGAUACCAUAUUUUUUCAAGAAAAAUAUAGCAAACUACCUGCUUCAUUCAUUAAGCAAAAUGAACUAGGCGUACAGUAUGGAAGCAGCUAAGGCCUCUCAGGGAAUCGACAAAAAAGGUAAAGUGAAAAAGUAAGAGAAAGGAAAACAAAAGGAGAAAAAGAGGAGGUGUGAGUAGGGAGAGGAGGGAUAGUAGCUGAGGCUCGGACGGCACAUCACAGUGAUGAGUUCCAGUCGUUUAGUAAAAGAUUGACUCGUUCAAGAGACCGGGUAGCAUUGUGCGAGACUCCUCGGAAGAUUGCGUUGUUUUUGUCUGUCCAGAUCACCCACCAAGUCGCGGCCAGAAGGGUCAGGCCUUGUGUUCUCGAAGUUCCGAUCGGGGUGUCACACCAUCCAUUCCAGAGACCAUUGACGUUGCCCGUGCUGUCAUCAGUUGAACCCAAUCCUUCCAAACUGAGGAGCAGGUAUCUUACAUAAACGCAAGUACAGAAUAGAUGAUCACAGUUUUUCGUGAGCACCGCAACUGUUGAGUAGCCUAUCAGCAGUGAGUAAUCUCUUUCGGAGAAGUAGCCAAAUGAAGACUUUGAUUUUGACCGAAAUUUUCAGUUUUCAGAUGUGCCGAUUUGUAGGGACUCUCUGUCCCCCAUUAGAAAUGAACUGGCAGAGGGAUUUGACCGUGAAUAGUUGUGAAUAGUUGGUUGGAGGUCCACCUCCAUUUAAUUGAGUAUGGGUUGAUACCGGGGCGAUGGCCUCGGAGCAAGUCUUUAAACAUCGUUAGCUAUCUUCGACUUUCAAUGGAGUGUGACGCCGAGAAGCCAUGGCAAAUGAAGCGCCAUCUCCAUUCGCUGUGGUUCUGGCACUGGGAAAUGCGCGCCUCCUUUCGUAACGUUCCAAUAGAUAUCCGGGAAGAGAAUACAAAGGGGGGUUUCUCCUAUCCAGAUGUCAUUCCACAACCUAAUGUUUCUUCCGUUACCUAGCUCAUAAGUCACUCCGGAGGUGGACAUGUCUUGACACCAAAGCACACUUUUCCACCAUUGCGAGUAGGGAAGAAAGGCUCUACCCUCGUAUAGUGGCCUUCUUCUAGUGCAGUCUUUGAUACCAUAUUAAGUUACAUGAAACGAUCGUUUGUCUCAAAUAGCUUAAGCUAUCUUAAAACAAUAUUUUUAAUAUUUUAUAUUAUUUUUAUUUGAAUUUUAAUUCAUCCGAAAGUCUAAUUUAAUCUGAACUUCACUUUUUGUGAAACAAGCAUACUUUCAUUACUAUUAAAAUAAGCAAUUUUCAUGUGCAUUUUGUAGUCCAACUACUCGGUUAAUAGCACAUCAGCCUUUAUAAACUGUCAAUAAAUUAGAUGUGAUUGAAACUUGAGAUUAGUGAUCGCCAUGAUUGAAAUUUGAGAUGGAAUAUCAAUAAAAAAGAUGUAAGGUUGAGAGCUCUAUUUUAAAAUAUAUUCUAUAGUUGAAGGAGGUUUUGAUAUAUUCACCUUUUUUUAAAAAUUUAAUUUUUAUCAGCCAAAUAAUCAAAUUGUUGAGAAGAAAAGUUUGAUACGAGAAAACGGAUGGUCGCCAUUGUUUGCUCGGGACAAAAGCUUCUUGGCUUUUGGGAAAUUAUUAUUAUUAUUAUCUCCAUUAAUUUAGGUUUUAUAAACUGCCUUAUAUAAUCAAUAUUUCAAAUUAACGUUUUACGUGCUCAAUGUCUAUUAUAUAACGUCACACCACAUCAACUAUAACCAAUCAAUUAUAUCUCUUCUUUUAAUAUAAAAGUAUGGUAAAAAUUAUUUUUUUAAAAUUAUUAUAAAAUAAAUAAGUUUCAGAAAUGCAUUUUGAUUGGCUAGUGAAUCUUAGCAAUGUGAUGCGGCUGAUAAGUACUGCAGCAUUAUUCUUUUCCCUAAUAAAAUAUUUUUCAUCUCUUGUGAACGGUUAAAUGCAUGUUUGUUUUUCAAUUAAGAGACAAAGUACGGGUAAAUUGCAUAUUUGGCCCUCAAACUAUGAGGUUGGGGACAUUUUAGUAUUCAAAUAUUAUUUUUUUAUUUUUUUUCAAACUUUUAAAAUUAUUAUUAUUAAGUUUUAUAAUUCAAUUUAGCUGACUAAAUAAUAAUAUAUUACUAAUAUAGAAGUGAUGUGAUAUGUUAAAAUUUAAUCAAUCAAAAUGAAUUGUAAGAGUUGAUUAUAAUAAUUAUAAAAGUUUUAAAAAAUAUAAUAAUAAAUUAAAAUUUAAGAAUUAAAAAGCCAAUUUGUAUAAAAAAUCCACAAAUUUUGAGCUUUUGCAAAACUCGGCCUUUUUUUCGAUUUUGCAGAUUCGGUCCGAAUUUUCAGCAAAUUGACCAAAAUACUCUUAUUACUUUUUCUCUCUCCUCUUUCUCUCUCCUUUUUUUUUUUCUCGCUCAUUUUUUUUUUCUCUCACUGAAGAAGGUAGUGGAGGCGAAGGCGAAAACGGCCCGCCUUGCCUUUCACCCUCGUGCCCUCGCUCGCGGACACCCUACCUUCCUCGCCUUCAACCCCGCCGCGACUCUUUUUUUUUCCCUCUCCGAUCCUCCUCCACCAUCUCCGAUGACAACGUCUCUCUCGCCCUUCCUGGCCCUUCUCAUCCUCUCCCUCUUCCUCCUCCUCCGCCGCCUCCGACGACGAAGCAUCUUUGCUUACGCCGACAAGGCGAAGGUCGCUGCGGCGCCGCAGCCUCGGAGCGGGGGGUCCUUAUCGAUGUCGUUGUCGGCGCCAUGACCGUUGGCAAAAUGGGGUGACCAAAAAAGUUUGUAGAAGAAGGAAGAAGAAAAGACAAAAAAUUAUAGAAAAAGAAAGAUGAAAAUGAAAUUGCACCGUUAAAAUAUAAUUGAAUUAUUUUAAAAAAAUAUUGCACUAUUAUGGAUAUAAGUUGCACUAUUUAAGAUAUAAACUGCAUCAUUUAAGAUGAAAAUUACAUUCUUUAAACAAAAAUUACACUCUUUAAUUAGAAGAUAUUUACACUGUUUCUUCUCUUAUUACACUCUUUGAGAUAUAAACUGUAUCUUUUAAGAUAAAAGUUAUAUUUUUUAAACGAAAGUUGUACUUUUUGAAUUAUAGUUACACUAUUUCUUCUCUUUGUUGCACUGUUUGAGAUGUAAACUGCACCCUUAAGAGAUAUUUACACUAUUUUUCCUCUUUGUUGCAUUAUUUUUUCUCUUGUUACACUCUUUCUUCUCUUUGUUGCACUCUUUAAAAGGAUAAACAGUGCAACAAAAGAAGAAACAGCAACCGUGUAAAAUUUUUUCAAAGAGUGCAAAUUUUGUUUAAAAAGUAUAAAUUUUAUCUUAAAAGAUAUAGUUUACAUUUCAAAGAGUACAAUAAGAAGAGAAACAGUAUAAAUAUUUCCCAAAGAAUGCAAUUUUUAUUUAAAGAGUAUAAUUUUCAUCUUAAAGGAUAUAAUUUACAUCUAAAUAGUGCAACUUAUGUUCAUAAUAGUACAACGUUCUUUAAAACAGUGCAAUUUUAUUUAACCGUGCAAUUUUAUCUUCAUUUUUUUUUCUAUAAUUUCUUGUAUUUAUUUUUUCUUCUUUCUUCUUCUACAUUUUUUUUUAUCACCCCUCUUUGCCAACGGCCAUUGCGCUGGCAAUGACGCCGAUAAGAACCUCCCGCUUCGAGGUUGCAACGCUGUAACGACCUCCGAGGUGUCGGCAUCGACGAAGAUGCGUCGUCUUUGGAGGCGGCAGAGGAGGAGGGAGAGGAAGAGGACGAGAAUGGCGGGAGGACGAGAAUGGCGGGAAAGGGCAAGAGAGACGUCGUCGUUGGAGACGGUAGAGAAAGUGAGAGGGAAAAAAAAAAGUUGCGGCGUGGCCUCGGCGGGGUGAGAGGCGAAGAAGAAGAGGGGUGCAUGGGCGAGGGCGAGGGCACGAGGGUGAGAGGGGAGGCGGGCCGUUUCCACCUCCGCCUCUACUGGCUUUUUCGGCGAGAGAAAAAAAAAAAUUAACAAGAAAAAAAAUAAGAGGAGAGAAAAAAUAUAAGAGUAUUUUGAUCAGUUUGUUGAAAAUUCAGAUUAAAUUUGUAAAAUCGAAAAAGACGAUUCAAUUUUGUAAAAGCUUAAAAUUUGUGAAUUUUUUAUGCACAUUGGCCGAGUUAAAAUAUAACGUGUCUCAUAAUUUAAGCACCAAACAUUACGGGAACCAAAUAUUCAAUUUAUUCUAAAAUAUAACAUGCCAUGUAUUGGGAACUGUUUUCUAUAUUUUAUCUUUUUAAUCUAAAAAAAAAAAAAUCGGUUGAGAACGAAAAUUUAUUUAAAUAAAAUAAAAUAAUACAAAAUUAAAAAAAUCUUCAAAAUAAAAAAGUCUUCAAAAGAAAAUCACUUAGACGACGUGACAUUCAUCCCGGAAUGCUUCCCAAAUGAUCAACUCGGAUUGAAUGUUUCCCAAAUAUUGAUCAACUCUGAUUGAUCACAACUGAACUGAAGUAUAUAUAUUUUAGCUAAUACGGCAAAAUAUAUGGAUGCUUCGUCACGGGUUGCUUUUCCUUCUCUACUUAUUCUCUUUCCCAAAUAAUUACGACCAGUUUGACCACGUAGGACAAAAGCUGUUAAAUAAAAUACUAAAAUAUUACAUGAAUUGUACUCUUUCAAGAGGCAUGAUAUGAAAACCUCACCAAUAGAUUCCUUUAUGUUAAGAACAUUAAAUUAAAGCUAUUAUUCUUAGGGCACAAAAUUCUGUGUUUAAUUUUCUUACAGCAAAAAGUUCAAAAUCUUUUUAAGAGAUGAUUAUUGUCGAAAUUAAGCAGAAGAAAAAAUAACUUUGCUUAAUGAAUCAUCUCUGAUAUCUCCUAUCCCUCCUUAACAAAAAUCCCGUUAAUUGCUUCAUAUGUAGAUCCUAUAAUCAAUUAAUCAUAUAAAUAUUUAUGGCAGUUACCUACUUCUCUUUUGAACCAAGUUUCCUAUCUCACCUAAUCGAGCCAAGAUUAAAACCAAACAGAGUAUAUUUGGCGUAAUUAUAAAUGCUUAUCCUGUUGGUCUACUUGGUAGUAAUUAAGAGCAUUAAACAUUUUCAACAACAUGAGAUCAAUAAUAUGAAGGGAUUAGUGCUCCAAUGAACAUCAGAAACACCUAAGUAAUCACAUCAUUCUACGCUUUGAGAAGUGUUACUUUGUUAUUUUUCAUUUGAGAAAAAGGAUCUGCCGUGGAAUAAAGUAACAAAAUGAUAAAAUUUACAAAGCAGUAGUAAAUUGUUACACUUUAUAAUCUUUACAAAGCAGUAGCCUUGGGCUUAACACAGCCUAUAAUUUUCACUUUACUCUCUUCUGAUCUCUAAAAAUUAUCUCAUUUUAACUGUCCUAUUUAAUAGUGAAUUCCUACAGUAAAAUACAAACACAAUCAAUAAAAUGGCAUAGUAAUAAUAUGCACUAAACCACUUAAGAGGACUAAUGAGAUGGAUAUUUACUCUAAAGGGCUUGUUUGGUUCAUCUAUUUUGGGUAUGGAAUGGGAAUUGGUUUGAACAAAUCCGGUUAAUUUUGUUUGGUUCGCAUGAAUCGGUUUGGAAUUCCUAUUUCGGACUGGCCCAUUAGCCUUCAACUUGAUUCCGGUCUUCUAGCCCGGAUUGAGAUUUCAUUCCAGAAGCCCACUAAGUUCUCGAAGCCCACGUGACCAUCUCACCCUCCUUCUCUUCACCCCUUUCUCAUCACAAAAAAAAAAAAAAAAAAAAAAAAAAAAAAAAAAAAAACCCUAUCAUCUCUCAAAACCCUAUUCCUAACCCACAUCAAUAAAAAUUUUUAAAAAUAAAUUUGAUAUUUUUUUUGGAAAACUUAUUAGAGAAUAGUAUUAUAGUUUUCAUAAAUUUUAAAUAAUAUAAAUUUAUAUUUGAGAGUAAAAUUAGUAUUAUAGUAUCCUAUAAUUUUUUUUAUUUUAUACAAACCAAACAAUGAAAUAUGAAUAACUCAUUCCAAUUCUCAAUCCACAAAUAAACCAAACGUCUUGGGGGAGUGGGCCAUUCCAAUUCAUUCUCAUUCCAUUAUCCAUUCUAAUUCCACCCUUGAACCAAACAAGCCCUAAAUGCUACCUAUCCUCUAAUAUGAAUACUAUCAGUUUUGCACUCUCCACUUACUAUUAUAAACUUUUAAUUGUGACUAACAUUCCAUGCCAUUAGAAAAACUCAAAAACUAGUACAGUUCAAAAUCUGCAAGGAACCUAAUUAUCAUUACAUUACAAUGCUACAUUAAUUGUUAAAUCUUCUAUCGCAGUCAAUAAUACAAGUUUUACAUCAUCCUAAAAUACAAACAUCAAACACUUCAACAGUUCCCUUCAUUUUGUAUUAUCCUAAAAUACAAGGUUUAUAUUAUCCUAAAAUACAAACAUCAAACACUUCAUCACAAGUACCUAUAACUACAAAAUCAGCAGCUCCCUUCAUUUUGGUUACUUGCGUAUAAAAUCUCAUGAAACUAUUAGCUGAUGAAAGGCAAAAACAGUGGACACAAACAGUAAAAUUUUCUCAGAGCUUUAUAUCAUAUGUGCCCAAAAAAGUUUAGAUGAAAUUAGGCUCCUUCCAUCUCAUUUAGUACUAGAAUAAGAUGAUGCAUCAAUUUUAUUGUGUCACACUACCAUUAAAUCAAUUACCUUAAGUCAAAAUUGCUUUAUGUUAGUUUAUUUCACUAUGCUUAAAGCUAACUUUCAACUAAUUACCACCUUAAUUAUACAUAGCAACAAGAAUGACAAAGAUGAUAAUGACCACCACCAAAUAUUAUCAACCACUAAUCUUUUAGUCCCAAAUAAUAUUGGUGCCAAAUGAAAUUAACCACCUUAAGUCAAAAUAAGUUUCUUAAUCUAUCUAAUUUAAUGCAAGUGAAUCAGAAAAAAAGUCACCAUCAUUCCCCAAGCUAUAUCUACAUCCUUAGAGCCUUCGCAAUAUGAUCGACUAAUUCCUGGAUUUCGAAUUUCAAUAAGAAUCUGAAGCAAAUAGCUGAUGACUGCAAAUGACCAAGGAGAACAGCGGGGAGACAUGAUAUAUAUGGUCGGCACCAGUUUACGUGGCCACCUCUAUAAAUAUUUGAUCAAGUUGGAACUGCUUUAUUAGUUAAAAUUACCUAUCUCAUGCAUGACCAAGUUUCCGAACUAGUCAACCAUGAUCAUCAAGCAGAACCAAGAACCACAAUGUAAAACUACUAAGUUGGAAGGGGUGUGAGCCUGAAUUUACUGAGAAAAUUGAAAUUUCUAGGAACCCAAUCUCCUCUUAAUCAACGGGAGAAAUAAAGUACCAAAUAGAGUUAGUAUAUCCAACUCAAAUUAAGAGAUAAGCCCAAAUCUUUCUAGCAGCCUUGCCAAAUAAACUAAUAGAGAAAGAUCAAAGUGUUAUACUCGCAAUGGAGGAACAAUCUCUAUAUUGUUUUCUUCGAAAUCUGCAAUGCUUAUUUUGUAGUAUUUUUUUUUUUGUCUUUAAUAUUGAAUAAGUUUGACUCUUGUGCCAGACACAUGUAACAGAAUCAUCAAGAAACUAUAACAUCACUUCAACAGAGAGAUUCACUACACUAAUGUAAGAAGUUCAAGGGUCAAAUAUCAAUAAUUAAGAGCCUUGAAAUUGUUCAAAGUUCAAGGAGUUGCCUGAGAAAAUAAAUCAAACAACACCAAACUACAAGAAGAAUCAAGUCAUCUGUUAAUUAGCUAGCUUCUCUGAAGAUUUCAAUAAAAUAAUAGCACUUACCAAAGUUCUAAGCAAUCUAAGGUAGCAAAAAGGCAAAUUACAAAAUUCCUUAAUUCCUUCCCAAAGCGUCAAAAUUCCAAUGCAAGUCAAUGGUAAAACUCAUGCAUUGACUUCGUCAUAUUCCACAACACAAACAGAGUAUUAAAUGGUUCAAAACUUCUACUAGAACUCCAUGGCUAAACUGCAGGAUAAGUUCUCGCCAUGGAUCAUUAAAAUACAAUUUUUUUCCCCAGAUCCUCAUACAAUCAACCCAAAAUUCUUACUGAAACUAUUAGUUUAUAUUCAAUAUGCCAACUAGUCACCCUCAAAUUAAAAAGAAAAUUACCAAAUAGGUGAUCACUCACGAGUAGCAUCAAGGGAAUAUAUAUAUAUAUAUAUAUAUAUAUAUAUAUAUAUAUAUAUAUAUAUAUAUAUAUAUAUAUAUAUAUAUAUAUAUAUCCAACAAAUAUAAUAUGAAAUGCAGCUCCUAAGGAUGCAAAAGCUUGGCGGAAUCAACACUGUAUUCUCUAGCCUAUCACUUAGAAACUCUGAAUCAAACAAUGUUGCACAAGCAUCUUCAUGUUUAUAAACACUUCAAGUUAACGCUAGUAGUUCUACUAGAACUACGGUGGAAAUUAAGAAGAAAGAAGGUGAAUUUUAAAAUGCAGUGGACAAAAAGAAAUGCAUCAUGAGAGGCAAAGAUACUGAUAAUUCAACCCUGAUUUGGAGAAGUCAAUUAACAUCCUUGGGAGCAACUUAACAAGAUCAUAUCAACUAUAGAAAUACAAUGCAACACUACAGGCAUGAACAAGUUACCAGCGAUUGAGACGAGACAAUUAAGUAGUCAAGGAGAAACAAACCAAGACGCCGAAGGGGAGGGGGCACGCCGCGCCCUUCAUGAGUUCCGGGAACAGCUGCUCCCGUGCGACCACCUUCGGAUCGCCGAAGCGAGGAAGUUCCUCCCGACCAUGCUGCUGAUGCGAGCCUUCCACGGCGACGUCGGCCGACUGGUACUACUCGUCGGGAGCUCGCUCCGAUCAACCGUGUCCGGAACCAGCUUGUCGUCGCCGUCAUCUUCUAAAACCCCACUCUCACUCACACUCCCUUCCUGCAACUCGGCGGCGCUGAGAUCCGUGUCCAAAUUGAUGGCCAGCGAGCUCCUCACGGUCCGCAGCCACUCGGCGCACUCCGGAGUGACCCCGCGGCACUUCUUGAUCUUCACCUUGACCAGUUUAGGGCAACCGUCGGCGAGGGCCCCCAAUCCGACGUCCGUGACGGGGCAGCCCUUGACGCAGAGCUUCUUAAGGGCGGCGCACUUGGCGGCGACGCAGGCGAGCUCGGCGUCGCCGAAGGUGUCGCAGCCGCAGAGGGCGAGGCGCUCGAGGGCGCGGCAAUUGGCGGCGACGGGCUCGAGGCUGCGGGCGGUGGGGUUGACGCCGAUGAGGACGAGUUCCUGGAGGUCGGGGCAGGCGCGGGCGAGGGCGGAGAGGCUGGGGUCGCCGAUGCGGUUGGUCUUCCAGCCGUCGAGGUGGACCUUGCGGAGGCGGCGGCAGCGGGCGAGGAGCGGGGCGAGGCCGGCGUCGGUGCACUCGGGGGUCUUCACGAGGUGGAGGACGUGGAGGUCGGCGCAGAGGGCGAGGGCGGCGAGCCCGCGGUCGCUGACCUGGAGCUUCUCGAGGUGGACCUCCGCGAGCGCCGGGGCGGCGGCGGGGAGCGCCUCGAGGAGGGGGUCCCAGUCGCCGGAGCAGCGGAAGAGCUUCAGGCUCUUCAGGUUGGGGGCGCCGAGGAUGAGCGGGGCGAAGCACUGCGCGUUGUACAGCUCCUUGAAGCAGAUGGAUCGGAGCGAGGACGAGGCCGGGGCCGGCGCCGCGGUGUCGCCGGCGCUGUCGUCGUCGUCGUCGUCGAAGAGGAGGAGCGGGGAGUCGAGGCCGCGGAGGCGCUUGAGGGAGAGCUCCUCGAGGAGCGGGCAGCCGCGGAGGACGGCGAGGACGCCCGGGGCGCCGAAGGAACAGGAGGCGACGGAGAGCUUGCGGAGGGCGGGGGCGGCGGCGGCGAGGCCGGACAUGCCGGAGUCGGAGAGCGAGCGGCAGGAGCGCAGCUUCAGGCGGGUGAGGGCGGGGCAGCGGAGCGCCACGGCCGCCAGCGCCGCGUCGCCGAUGCUGUCGGAGCGGCGGUCGCAGCGGAGGGCGAGGCGCGAGACGGCGCAGAACCGGCGCCCGAAGAGCGCCGGGGCCGCCUCCAGCAGCGCCGCCCUGGCGUCCACGGCGAUCCGCCGCCGGCUCUGCCCCUCCACGCCCAGCCACCGCCGGCACACCAGCGCGCACCGGUUGCGGUCGCCGGGUCCCAGCCCGUGGAAUAUCACCGCUAGCAGCUCGUCCGGCAGCUCCGCCGUGUGGUCCCGCCCCCCCUCCUCCGCCGCCAUGGCCGGCGCCGCCUCCGCCUCCUCCACCGCCGUCACCCCUCCGGAGGGGCAACUGUAGGGUUGUUUAGUGCGGAGCCCGAGCGACGAUGAAGAGGAAGAGGAGGUGGAUGAGGGAGCGGAGGCGAUUUGGCCCAUCGAUAUUGCUUUUCAGAAGAAGACGAAGCGGAGCGCCUCCGCCAUUUUCCUUUUUCCUCUUUUUUCUUUUUUUUUUUUUUUUCUUCUUUUCCGGAUCUGAACUCUGACGAAGCACUGGUUUGUGCUGCUGCCGCUACGGAGCGACGAGGCGGACUCCAAAUGGUAAUUAAAUCCGGUUGUUUCCCUUUUGUGCCCGGGAUUAUUAUAUUUGUCUUCUAAUGCUGAGGUUAGUGUUUCCGUAUUUAUUUGUUUAAUAAAUGGGAUUUUUUCCGGACCCAGGGGGGGGAAAAAAAAGGGAUAAAAAAUAAAAGGAAGAGGACUCAAAUGAAAGGAAAAGAUGCAGUGUUGGGAACACCUUGUUAGGGCCGUAGAGUAUAAGAGGGAGCCCUAUUAGUUAUUUACAUCUCGGAGCCAAGGCGGAUUAUUUAUAUGAGCGGUGAUGUGGACCGUAGAGCGGUCGAUGGGCAGAAAUUAUUGCAUGGACCGCGGUCUAUACAUAUUUUUCUUAAAAAUAAUAAGAGAAAAAGAAAUGGAGCUGGACUACAAUACUAUUAAUAGCAAAAGAUUUUUUUUGCUAUCACGUAAAAUUUUUAGAUUAAUUUCUUUCACCAUUUCUAAUUAUUGAAUUAAAUAUUAUAAUCCAGUGGGAACCACUCAAUCCUAAGAUAAUCACUCAACUCUAAGGGCAUGUUUGGUUCAUGAUUGGAAUAGAAAUGAAAAUUGGAAUUGGAUUAUUUUUGAAUGUGAAAUGGAAUGAUGAAUCAUCCAAAAAUGUUUGGUUCAUUAUUGGAAUGGAAAUUGGAAUGAAAAUUUAAAAUUUUUUAGAGAUGGUUUUGAUUAAGAAAGAAAAAAGUGAUGAAGGGAGAAGAGGUAGGUGUUGGUGAAAGAGGAUUUUGAAUAAUUUACUUUUGAAUAAGUCAAUCCUGAAUUCAAAAUCGGAUUGGAUCAUAAAUGGAUUUGGCCAUUCCCAUUCCGGAGUGGAAUGGAAAUUAGAAUUCGAUCCCUAUAAAACAAACGGCAACUAUCGGAAUCAGUGAAUUCCAUUCCAAUUCCAUAGUCUAAAAUAGACGAACCAAACAUGCCCUAAGAGAUUAAUAUUAUUCUAAUUCUAUAAUUUUUCAUCCAAAAAUUAAAAACUUGAUAGUGAACGAACUUUUUGCUAUUAAUAAUAUUCCAGCGCAACUCAAAGAAAUGCACAAAGGUUCAGUGUAGUUUAGCUAUUUUGUAAAUAGCUAUUUAAAGUUUUGUAGUUUGACCUCAUAAACUUUAUUAAGUGGUUCGGUUGGCGUCUUUUCGAAAUCAAAAUUACUAAUUAUACAGACAUUUUGAUUGCAUGACAUGCAUAUUACUUUAUAAAACUCUGAAAUAUGAAAAAUUUUAAUUUUUUUCUUCUGAUAGGUAAUAUUUUCUUAUAUAUUUUAAAAGUACGUCAAAUUAUAUGCAUAAUGUAUGAAUAAAACAGUGGUUGUAUAAUUAGUAAUUUUAAUUAAAAAGAGCGAUGUAAUAUCUGUAUACAAUUAAUUUUAAAAAAUACUUAAAUAUCUUAGCGUUAUUGUAGUAUUGAUAUUAACUGUUAUUAUAAAUUUCAAUUUAUUUGUGCCAUCAGAUUAAGCAGAAUCGAUAGGAUUUAAUUUGGAUUUUGAAGUUUCAAUUCUUAUUAGACUAAGAUUAGGAUUACCCUAAGGGUCCGUUUGGUUCGAGUUAUGUAAUAUUACAAAGUAUCUUGAUAUAUCCAGGUAUCUUAGAUUUCGGCGUGAGAUUACUACUGAUGCUGUAUUAGCGCGUUUGGUUUAAUAUAGUAAUGUAAUACUAGAUUACAGUAUUGAUAGCAUUAAUAUGUUUGGUUCAGUUUAUAAAAUUUAGUAAUCUUGACAUAAAAGUAUAGUUUUUCCCAAAAUUGCCUUUAUUGUGGUCAUUUGAAUAUUAUUUUUUGCGGAAAUAACAAAUGAAGGGAAGGAGAUCGUGAUGAUUACUUGGGAGGACGACGCAAUAGAAGAUAAUAGGUGUUCGUGCGAGAGAGAGAGAGACGUCGAGAGAGAGAGAGCGAGAGAAAGCAGCGUACGAGAGAGAGGGAGGAAGGCGAGAGAGAGAUGAAAAUAAUACUGUUAAUUAGAUUUGGAUUUAUUGGAGAGUAAAAUUAUCAUUUUACAUAAUAUGUAGUAUUAACGGGUUUCAGUAAUGCAAGAUACACGACCCACCUGCUAUUCAUAUUUUCGAUGUAAUCCUACUCAAUUUGUAAUGCUACAUUAACGACUAGAUUAUAUAGCGGAUUAACCAAACACAGUUAUCCUGGCAGGAUUGCAAUCCUGCCAGGAUAACUCGAACCAAACGCACCCUAAUAUGUGUUUGGGGAUGUGUACAGCUAGGGUUUUGACUGGCUUCUCUAUGUGCACUUGAGAGAGCGACGACAAUUGGGAACGAAUCCGGCAAUCGCGAGACGAGAAAAUGAGAGAGAGGAGUCCUCUUUAUUCUUCUCUCUUUCUUCAUCUUCUUCUUCUUCCUCUCUUGCUUCUUUAUUUUCCCAAUGUUGGCAAUGUCAACUACUAACUAGAGAUAAUGUAUAACUUUUAAAUAAAUUACAUUCAAAAUAUAAUAGUAACUAAAAUUUAAACGAGAGGGAAAAAAAAGUGUAAAAAGUGCGAUCUUUAUGAGAAGUUCUAGGUGUAAAGACUUUGUACUUGUCAGGAAAAAAUAUUAUUCCGUAAAAAUUAAACGUUCUCUUGUGUUGAAACAUUGGUGAGGACGUAGGAAAACUAUUGAACUUCGAAACAAAUCGACCACGUGCUUUGAGUUUGAUAUUUUCUAACUCUUCUAAUUUUCUUUUAUUGCGGUUCUAUCAAAUUUGAUUUUAUUAUAUUUUAUUUUAGAAACUUAAUUCACCUCCCCUCCUCUCUUAAGUAACCAUUAGGCUAACAAACACACAACCGAGAGCUAAAAUCCGCUGGUCUUUUAUUAGCGGACUAACAAUCACUAGGCUAAUAAACAUACAAGUAAAAAUCACUGUUCCUAACACAACUGGCAAAAGCUUGAUAGUUGGUACCCGAGGUCCCAAGUUGGAAUCUUAAUUGAUACACAUUUUUAGCUAAGUUUAUUUCUAAAUAAAAUAAACAAAUUGGAUAGCAUGCUACCUAUCUCUUAAUUAAAAAAAAAAAAAAAAAAAAAAACCAUACAAGUAAGGGCUUCGUUACAAGUUAAAUUGACAACUAGAAAAGCAACCAUUAGGCUAACCAGCGGGCGAGUUCUUUAAGUCAUUCACUUUAUUUUUGUCUAUUAGCACAUUAUCAGAGCUAGGCUGUUACACUAUCGGUAGCAUGAAGACCUCCGUACUAUCAAGUUGUUUUCAAUAAUACAGCUUCUAAGUCGAUGAUCGAUUCCGUUAGAUUUGAUCUACACUAUUGAAAGUAUAACUAAAUUUUAUAACUUUUCGACACUAUUCAGCUAGUGAUCAAAAAGUCUCAAAAUUAAUAAUUUUAAUAAUCGAUGUGAUAUAUUUGUGAAUUUAACAAGGUAAAACAAUCAUAAUUUGAUAAAAUUUUUAUUAAUUUUUUUUCACUAUUUAGAGUAAAAUUAGUAUCUUUAAUCUUAAAUUCAAGUCUUUUAUUAUUUUUUAUGAAAUUUUUAUUUUUAACCGUUCAUUUUUAGACUACGUGUUUAAUAGAUAAAUGAUAACAAAAAAUUAUGCAAUUCCCUUUUCAAAUACUUUAAUAGUGUAGAUCAAGUCUAACGAAGUCGAUUUUCCAUUUGAAAGCUGCAUCAUUAACAAAAAAUUAGUAGUACGGAGGCCUCCGUAUUAUCAAUAGUAUAGCAACCAAACUCCACAUUAUAGAAUAUUGAGUUGUAUUUUUUUUUCAUAGCAAGUUCGCAUGUCUCACUCUAAGAACCUAUUGAUUUUGACGAAGUGGGAAACUUGAAUGUCCAAUAUUAGUAACAGCGACUGUGAUAUUGAAUUCCCAACCUCUUAAAAGAUACACACCGAGAAUAAACAAUUACUAAUGUACCGAUCGUCCCUAAUGUAAGUGACAGAAUUUGAAAUUUGAUACCCAAAGUUUCAAGUUCCAAGCAUAGUUGGCUUCACAUUUUAAACUAAGUUUAUUUCUAAGAAAAUAAACAAAACGAAUAGCAUAUUAUAUUUCUCUAACAAAAAAACUAUUACAGAAUGUAUAAUUAAUAAAAGCAUUAAUCGUAUAUUUGACCAGGGCAGGAGCAAUAAUAAAGCAAUGCUGUCUAUCUAUUACUAUAUACUAAAAUGCCUUGGGGGUAAUAUCUCUAUGUUAACACGUGUCCUAUCUAUAUUUACUCUGCACCCGGUGUACCAUACAUCCUAUAAUAAUUUUUAUUUUAUUUUAAUAUAAAGGCAUUUAAAAUAAGAUAACAUAAAUUUAAUUAAUGAAAUUUUAUUCUAAAAUUUUAUUUUUGACAAUUCUAUCUAACAUUUUAUUUUGACAUUUUUAUCAGAUAAAUUUGCCGGUGUGUAUCACAUACACUAAGUGCACGCAUAAUUUGCAAUCGAGAGGAGUACUGUUUGUGGACAUGUGUCCAUCCAUAGGUGCACCCAGUGCACCAUGGACCCAAUAAAAAAAUAUAAUUUUAUUUUAGUGAAUAUAUUUUAAAAUUUAUAAAUAUUAAUAUAUAAACAUUUUAAAAUUUAUAAAAUAAAUUGAAUUAAUUAAAUUUUUAGUUUUGACAUCUCUACUGUAUAAGUUUACUGGUGCAUAUGAGAUGUAUGUGUACACUAGAUGUAGCCAAUGAACUCCACUAAAGGCCUAAUAUCUAUUGUGGAGCGACCCUCCAUUUCUAGACAAAUGUCCUUUCCAUAAAUUCGGUGUACUCGAUGCACCAUAAAUUAUAUAGAAAAAUUUAUUUUAUUUUAUUAUUUGCAUCUAAAUUUUAUAAUUUUUAAUAUGUAAAAAUUUAAAGUACUAUACAGUAAAUUUUCUUAAUUUUAUUGUUGACAUCUCUAUUAUAUAAAUUUAUUGGAGCAUUGUUUGUGGACAGAUGUCCAUUCUAUUAAUGCAUCUAGUGCAUCAUGGACACAAUAAGAAAAUUAUAGCUUUAUUCUAGUGAAUAUAUCUAAAAUUUAUAAAUAUUAAUAUAUAGACAUUCUAAAUACUAUAAAAUAAUUUGAAUUAAUUAAUUUUUUAUUUUGCCAUCCCUAUUAUACAAAUUUACUGGUGUGCAUGAAAUAAAUAUGUAUAUUAGGUGCAGUUAAUGAGUUCAACUAAAAAUCACUUUAAAUUAGACCUCUCAACUAUGUUAAUUUGAUUAAUAUCUCACCAAUCGUGAAUUAUUUCGAUGUGAGUUAUUUUUUAAAAUUGGUUGAAAAUUUUGUUAGAUUUAACAUUCUCAUUACCUAUCUACCAUUAAAUUAAUUAAAAAUUUUCUUUACUUUUUGUCAAUUAUCUGUUGGAAGUCCAAAUUUUAGAAAAAUUAUAUCUAAUUUCUCCAAAGUCGGUAUGCUUUAGAAAAUUUUAAAAUUUAGGGAACUCAAGUAUAUAGCAUACCAACAAAUAAAAUCCGUAACAAAAUCCUAUAUUUUAGAAUUAAAUAUUAAUACAAAUGUAUACUUAAUAAUAAUAUAUAUUAUAUUUUAUAAAUAAAAUUAAGAAUAUAUUCAUACAUCAGUAGCAAAGCGCGGGUACAUCGCUAAUAUAUUUAAAAAGUGAAUGUAAAUUUCAACAUCCUGCUUAUUUUUAAAUAUUAAAAAAUUUAUUUUUAAAUAAAUUAAUGUAAAAUUUAUAGUAUACUUUUGAAUGUACACGGCGCGUGUGUGCGCGUCCGCGCAGCUUACUUGUCCGAGCAAUUUGACGCGGUCCAGAAUCAAAGCGCGACUGAAGAGCAGCCCAAAAGUUCGCCAUGCGCGUCACGUACGUCUUUUUUUUUCCCUGGUUUUUUCUCCUAAAUUUUUCUCCGUUCAAAGCUCAGAGUGUAAGCACCAAACACUACUCAACGAGCUAAGAAUUAAGAAUAAGAAAAAGAAGAUGAGUACAAUAAACGUGGGCUCGGCUUUGGCCUCUCAUUUUAGUCAAAGGCAAAACAAUUCUUCAGUGUAACAGUUUGAUUAAUUUGAACACAAAANUGUGAACUAGUCAUUAGUGUUCUUUCAGCCUAUUAUUUUUUUAGUAAAUUUUUUGGCUAAUUUGCAUAAAAAAUUCACAAGUUUUGAGCUUUUGAAAAAUUGAACCGUCUUUUUCGAUUUUGUAGAUUCGGACUAAAUUUUCAGCAAACUAAUUAAAAUAUCCUUAUUCUUUUUUCUCUCUCUUUUUUUUUCUCUGGUUCUUUUUUUUUUUCUGUCCGAAAAGGCAGCGAAAGCAGAGGCAGUUCGUCUCGCCUCUGCCCUACACACCCUCGCCCUCGACCGCGCCCGCACCUCCCGCCCUCCUCGCCUCUGACCCUGCCGAGGCCACACCGCUACCUUCUUUUUUUUCUCUCCGACCCUCCACCACCGCUUUUGCGGCCCUCUCCGAUGGUAAUGAGGACGACAACGCAUUCUCUUCUUCCACAUCUACUACAGCAGAUUUUGUACCUACCAAACCCACUUCUGGGAACCCACGUCCCCACCACCGUCGUUGACGAUAAAGAGGAAGCACUUCUCGGCGCCAAAAAACUCGCCAGCGAGGAAAGAGGCACGCGGCCCACCCGCCUACGCUAUAGGGCGGCGGCGAGCGUGGCCUCGACGGUGUCAGAGACGAAGAGGGCGAAGGUUGAACAGGAGCAUCUCUAAAUUAGCACUUUUGUUUGUUUAAAAUAAAAAAAAAAAUUUAACAAAAAGCCAAAACUAGAGAAUAAUGAAGAAAAUCAGAGAAAAAGAAAGAAAAAAAUGAAGUUGCACUGUUAAGAUUAAAUUGCAGUAUUUUAAAAGAACGUCACAUUAUUAUGGACGUAAGUUGCACUCUUUGAAAUAUAAAUUGCACCCCUUAAAAUGAAAGUUGCACUCUUUAAAUAAAAAUUAUACUUUUUGAAAGAUAUUUAUACAAUUUUUUUUUUCUUGUUGCACUAUUUGAGAUGUAAACUGUACCCUUUAAGAGAAAAAUAGUGUAAAUAUCUCUCAAAAAGUGCAACUUUCGUUUAAAGAGUACAACUUUUAUCUUAAAAAAUGCAAUUUAUAUCUCAAUGAGUACAAUAAAAGGAGAAAUAGUGUAAAUGUCUCCCAAAGAGUACAAUUUUUAUUUAAAGAAUGUAACUUUCAUCUUAAAUGGUGCAAUUUACAUCUUAAAUAGUGUAACUUAUACCCAUAAUAAUGCAAUGUUCUUUUAAAACAGUGCAAUUUUAUCUUAACAGUGCAACUUCACCUUUUUUCUUCUUCUUCUCUGAUUUUCUUCAUUAUUCUCUAGUUUUUAGCUUUUAGUUAUUUUUUAAAAUUUCUUCUCUCGCAGAAGCUGUAGCACAGUCCUCAAGUGCUCCUCAUGCUCAGCAUCACUCCGGGAGUAAAUCAAGAUAUCGUCAAUGAAGACUAUUACAAAUCUAUCCAUGAACGGUUUGAACACUCUGUUCAUCAAAUCCAUGAAUGCGGUAGGGGCAUUUGUCAAUCCAAAAAGCAUGACCGUAAACUCAUAAUACCUGUACCGAGUCCGAAAAGCUGUCUUGGGAACAUCCUCGGCCCUCACCCGCAGCUGGUGGUAACCGGACUGGAGAUCAAUCUUCGAGAAGACACAAGAUCCUUGUGUCUGAUCAAACAGAUCAUCAAUGCGCGGCAAAAGAUACUUGUUCUUGAUGGUCACCUUAUUUAGCUCCCGGUAAUCUACACAUAACCUGAGAGAACCAUACUUUUUCUUUACAAAUAACACCGGCGCUCCCCAAGGCGAUACACUAAGUCUCACAUACCCCUUAUCCAUCAGAUCCUGAAGCUGCGCCUUUAGCUC